rnacentral:lncRNA from 1 species
GCGUUUCUUCGAACUUCUAUACAGCACUACGUGUGUAUAUAUAUAUAUAUAUAUCUAUAUGUAUAGAGCAACCUCAACCAAAUCGAAGCAAACUACCUACCAGCCUAUAAUCGAAGCAACCUCAACCAAAGACUCAAAGAGAAAAAUGUGGUUUACUCUCAGCAAAGAAGCAUUACUAUUCUUAUGCUUCCAUGGCUAGCUCACGGCCACAUAUCUCCCUUCCUAGAGCUUGCAAAGAAGCUUACCUCUAAGAGAAAUUUUCACAUCUUUAUUUGUUCCACACCUGUAAAUCUCACCUCCAUCAAGCCUAAACUCUCUCCAAAAUACUCUCAUUGCAUUGAAUUUGUGGAACUUUAUCUUCCGCAUGAUGAUUUGCCUGAACUCCCACCUCAGUACCACACCACCAAUGGCCUCCCUCCCCAUCUCAUGUCCACUCUCAAAAGGGCCUUCGACAUGUCCAGCAAUAACUUCUCCACCAUCCUCACAGCCCUAAAGCCAGAUUUGCUCAUAUAUGAUUUUCUUCAACCAUGGGCACCCUCUCAAGCUUCGUUGCAAAAUAUUCCAUCCGUCGAGUUCAUCACCACCAAUGCUGCCUUGACCUCAUUUAGUGUUCACCAUCUCAGGAACCCUAGUGACAAGUUUCCUUUUCCUUCGAUCUAUCUUCGGGAUUACGAAGCUAAAAAAUUCAACCGUCUCUUAGAAUCUUCAUCAAAUGGCAUUAAGGACGGAGACCGCGUACAAAAAUGCAGUGAUCUAUCUUCUGAUAUCAUUUUGGUGAAGACGUCUAGAGAGAUUGAAGCAAAAUAUGUUGAUUAUCUCUCUGGUUCAAUGGGGACACCACUACAAAAAAAGCAAAAAGACGACGGUAAAUCACCGUCGUGUAUUCGGUUUUUCAAUGGUCGUGGAAUCCACCGUCAUCUUUUCCCUCAUAAACCACGACGCUAAAUCACCGUCGUUGUUAAAAUAUACAACGUCAUCAACAAAUACAAAACGACGUCUUUGUACUACAAAAAGAUCUAAAAAAGCAGUCGAGGAUGAGAAUAGACGACCAACUCUCUAAAAAAACCGUCGUUAAAAAGGAAAAAUAUGACACAUAUUAAGAGAACAAGGCCGCAAGAUAGACAUACAACGACGAAAAUAAAAAUACGACGCCGUUAAAUAUCAUUUUCACGACAAUAAAAAAUUUGACGUCUUUAAAUACAUUAGAAGACGACGUUAUUGAUACCUACUACGUCGCAUAUAUAAAAACAGCCGUCGUAAAAUUAAUUUUUCACUUCGAUUUUUCGAUAAAAGAUGACGUGGAAAUAGUUGUCAGUGUCAUUAUUUACGACGUAUGUAUUUAUAGAGUAGACGUUGAAAAACGAAACAACGUCGGUUACAAAUAUAUGAGAGUCGUAUUACAAAAUUUAUACGUCAUAUUUUCAGAAACAAACAACGACGAUAAAUAUUAGACGUUGUUAAAUAAAACAACGUCGGAAAACAAUAAAAACAGACGUGUUUAGUCUGCUAAAGUUCUAGAAAAUAGUCGAGGAUGAGAAUAGACGACCAACUCAAACAAAUCACCGUCGUUAAAAAGGAAAAAUAUGACACAUGUUAAAAGAACAAGGCCGUAAGAUAUACAUACAACGACGACAACUAAAAUACUACGCCGUUAAAUAUAAUUUACACGACAAGAAAAAAUAUGACGUCUUUAAAUACAUGAGAAGACGACGUUAUUGAAAUAUACUACGUCUCUUAUUUACAAACAACCGUCGUGAAAUAAAUUUUCCACUUCGAUUUUUCUAAAAAAGAUGACGUGGAAAUAGUUGUCAGUGUCAUUAUUUACGACGUAUGUAUUUAUACAGUUGACGUUGAAAUGCGAAACAACGUCGGUGGCAUUUAUAUAGUCGACGUUGUAUUUAUAUCUAUCAUCAUUACUCACGACGUACUUAAUAAUAUAGACGACGUUGAACUUCUAAACAACGUCGGUUCCAAAUAAAUGAGAGCCGUAUUACAGAACAUAUAGACGGCGUUGAUUAUGAUGAGAGCCGUAUUACAAAUAACGUCGUUUAAUUGUUAUUAGACGACGGUUAUAAUGAAUUUCCGUCGGAAUUCAUUUCGUUCCUCUUCGUUUAUAAAAGAACUUGCGACGUGGAAAAUGUAUGAUGACGUCGUAUUUUUUAACGUUCAGAUUAUAUAUCUCGUUUUUUAGACGUCGGUAUUAUGGGAUUGGAGUCGUGUUAUUUUGAAUUACAUGGCGGUUCUUAAUCCUUCCCCGACGUGAUAUCCUGAAUAAUUACUUCACAAUAGCGUCGUGGUUCUUCAUUGUUACGUUGCUUUAAGACGUCGGUAAAUAUGCUGAAUAACUGGUUCACAAUAACGUCGUGUUUUAUUUGAACGUAGAAAGUGAAGAAAUCACAUUACAAUAUAUUACAAAAUCAAUGUCAUACACUGCCAAUUACAUAAGCAUCAUUCAAUCCAUAUAUCUUCACACCCAUCUCGAAUAUUUUGACCGCCUAACUCACCCACCAGUUCAUCAAAUGUGUCAACAUUUGGCAUCCCUCUAGUAAAUGGCUCACACUCAAUUAUCACAUCACCUAAGACUUCAUCACCAAUAACAUCAUUAUAUUCUCUAUUAGGCAUUGAUAACACUACCGACCAACCACGAUGCAUCGGGUCGUCAACAAAAAAUAUUUGUUUGACUUGAGAAGCCAAAACAAAUUGGUCAUUCCUAUGUCCAAUUUUACUCAAAUCUACAAGGGUAAAUCCAAGUUCGUCGACUACAAGACCAGAACUAUCUAUCCAAUCACACCUAAAGACUGGGAUUGUAAACUUUUGGUAGUCAAGGUCCCAAAUUUCUUGAAUGACACCAUAGAAACCCAUAUUUGAGAGAAUUGGGUUUUUAUCCUUGGCACUAGCAACUUGCAUGGUAUGUGCAAGUAAAUAAACUCCACUAUUUUGAGUUGUCCGCACAUCAUCUUGUGCCUUGAUAUUGAAUUUAAUACCUUUAAUAAGAUAGCUCCUAUAUAAUGGCACUGACAUGUUUGGACCAGCUGCUAGCCACCUUAAAUUUUCUGAUACGCCAUGAUUGUCUUCCUCAAGUUCACUUUGAACCUGCAAAUUAAUCAUAUCUUAAUUCAAUCUAACAUAUAAAUAAGAAGAAAAUUAAAAGAGAAAUAUGUUAUUCAACAACAUAUACCUUGAAGCGUAGCCAUUGAAUGAAAGUGCUAUUGUGCUUAUCCUGCAGCCACUUUGUUCUCUUUCUAAAUUUUGGAUAAGCAAUCUUGAUGUGGAUCAUAUGUUGCCUACAUGACACGAAAAAUUCAAGCAUUACGGUCCCAAAUAUAGAAGAUAAACAUAAGAAAUAAUUUAAAAUGGAAACUUAAAGAAUAAAGCUCAUACGUACUCGAUAUAAGGUAGGACUUCCUCCGUAUUCUCCAAGACAUAUAGAUGUGCUUGAUUCAACAGGUCCUGAUCAACUACGCUCACUGUGCAACCUGAUAAUGGCUUUGAAAGUCCCAUCUUUUGGCUUGAAGGCACUCCAACUGUACUAACAUCAGAUAAAUGCUGAGUACAAAACUCUACCGCUUCUUCAGCUAUAUACCGCUCAGCAAUGCAACCUUCGGGACGAGUACGAUUCUGAACAUACCCCUUCAGCACUUUCAUAUAUCUUUCAAACGGAUACAUCCACCUAAAAUAUACUGGCCCACAUAGACGAACUUCUCUGACAAGAUGUACUACUAGAUGAACCAUGAUAUCAAAGAAUGAAGGGGGAAAGUACUUCUCAAGCAAACACAGAGUAACUACUACAUCUUCUUCCAACUUAUCUAGCUUGGAAACAUCAACAGUCUUUGCACAUAUAGCAUUGAAGAAGAAGCACAAACGAGUUAUUGCAUACCUUGCAGGCUUCUCCAAAACAGAACGAAUUGCCACAGGGAGCAAUUGUUGCAUUAAGGUAUGACAAUCAUGUGAUUUAAGGCCAAGAAGUCUUGAAUCUUGUAAAGAUACAAGAUUUUUAAUAUUUGAAGAAUAACCUUCAGGGACCUUCAUACCAUAGAAAGAAUUGCAAACCUCUCUCUUCUCUGCUCUUGACAAAUUCCAAGGCCCAGGAGGCAAACGAGUACGUCUUUCUCCAUACUCGGGUUGCAAAUCAGUUUUGACCCCCAUGUUCAAUAAAUCUAAUCGAGCAGCAAUCCCAUCUUUAUUUUUUCCAGGGAUCUCCAGCAAUGUACCAAUGAUACUAUCGCAAACAUUCUUCUCAAUGUGCAUAACAUCUAGGGCAUGCCUCACAGGAAGGUAUUUCCAAUACUCGAGAUCAAAGAAUAUUGAUUUCUUCUUCCAACAAACUCUGUCACCAUUUUCAACCAUAUGCAGCACUUCUUCUCCGGUUAAUGGCUCUGGAGGUAUGCCAUAUUCAGGUUUCCCAUUAAAAGCUGCACGUUGCCUCCUAUAUGGAUGAUUGAUUGGUAACCAUUUUCUAUGCCCAAUGUAACAAAUUUUGUGGCCAUUUUUCAACCUGUGACUAGGUGUAUCAUCGCCGCAUAUUGGACAAGCUUUAUAUCCUUUAACAACACAACCAGAUAAGUUUCCAUAGGCGGGGAAAUCAUUAAUUGUCCACAUUAAUGCAGCUCUGAGUGUAAAGUAUUCUCCAUUAUGUGCAUCAUACACUCCUCUAAUCCCAACCCACAAGGAUUUUAAAUCAUCAAUCAAAGGCUCCAAGUAGACGUCUAUAUCAUUUCCGGGUUGUUUAGGACCGGAAAUCAAUAAGGUUAACAUCAUGAACUUUCGUUUCAUGCACAGCCAUGGAGGGAGAUUAUAUGUAACUAAGAUAACCGGCCAACAACUAUAUCUGCUACUUAGAGAACUGUGGGGAUUGAAUCCAUCAGAUGAAAGAGCCAAUCUCAAGUUUCUCGGCUCAUUACCAAACUCAGGCCAUUUAUCAUCAAGAAGUUCCAAGACGGGGAAUCCGCCGGAUGAGACAUCUGACCGUCAAUUGAUUUUCUAGCAGCAUGCCACCAAGUCAAACUCUUAGCUGUCUUAUGUGAUUGAAACAUCCUCUUAAACCUUGGAAUUGGGGGAAAAUACCACACCACCUUCGCUGGCACACCCUCUUUCAAGAUUGAAUCUUUGCCUUCCUUCCACCUUGAGAUACCACAAGUAGGACAAUUAGUUGAAUCCUCAUACUCCUUCCUAUACAAGAUGCAAUCAUUGGGGCAUGCGUGCAUUUUCUCAUAACUCAGCCCCAAUGCACACAAAGUCUUUUUAGCCUCAUACAUGGAGGUUGGUAUUGUAUUUCCUUCUGGAAGCAAAUCGCCUUGAAGUAUCAAUAAUUCUGUAAAACAGACAUCACUCAUCCUAUGUUUUGCCUUCAAAUUAUACAACUUCACUAAUGCCGAUAACUUCGUGUACUUUCUACAACCAGGGUACACUGGUUGAUCUCCAUCCCCAAUCACAUUGGCAAACUCAUACGGAUCCGAACCAAAAUCACCAAAAUCAUUAUCAUCCAUAUCAAUUUCUUCAGACACAAAACUGUACCUACUAUGGCCAUCAUCUUCUUCAACAUUUCUACUAGCAUUAGUAGUUGCUUCCCAAGGUUCUCCGUGAAAUGUCCAAUUCUUAUAGCUUUGGUCAAUUCCAUUAAAGUAUAAGUGAUCCCUUAUAAUUCCAACCCCAAACAACUUCAAAUUAACACAUUUAACACAUGGACAACGGAUAUGUGUUGUAGUUAGAAGAUUUUCUACAGCAAAGUUCAAAAAUGCUUCCACCCCAAAUUCAUAUGCCUUCGAUCUUCUAUCCGAGUGCAUCCAUGAUUAUCCAUCUCCGACACUAUAACCUAUUAUCUAUAAUAAAGUGAAAAUACAGGCAAUGACCAUCACUAUAGCAGAUUAUACAAUGAUCUAAUCGCAAGUAAUACACAACAGAGACGACGGGUUUUAAACAAAAAUAGACGUAUUUGGCAUAUAUAGACGACGGAUUUUCAACAGACGUCGUCUAUUAUAAGUAAUACAAACGACGGUUUAUGAAAAAACCGUCGUGUAUAAGUAAUACAACGACGGUAGUUUAAAAAAACCGUCGUGUAAUCGUCGUCGUAUGCCUUAAAAUUCGUCGUGUCUCAGUUUAUUUUCAAGAACACAAAACCCAUUAAGAACACAACAUAUAUAUGAAACCAAGCAAGAAACCAACAUAUACAUGAAACCAAGCAUGAAAACAAUAAAUCCAUUCCCAAUUCAACAUAACAUAGGGUGAUUAAAAGAUACGACAAAAUUAAAUCCAUUCCCAAUUCAACAUAACAGAUAAUGUAAUCCAUGAACCCAUUAAACAGAAAAUCCAUGAACCCAUACCUAUAAGCACAUUAUUAACUUUGCACCUUCUCCAGAGCGGAAAAUGACAAGAUCAAAUAAAGGUGUCCUUUUGCUGGAAAUCAUUUGGAAGUUGGUGAUCUGUGUCUUUUUGUGUUGAUUUCCAGCAAAAGUACACCUUUAUUUGAUCUUGUCAUGAACCCAUUAAACAGAAAAUCCAUGAACCCAUACCUAUAAGCACAUUAUUAACAGAUCGCAAAGCAUAUACCUAAAACCCUUUAACAAAACAACCUAAUAUCAUUCAAUGAAUUUACAAGGGGAAGAUAGGGUUUGUACUUACAGGUUGGACGAGCUCACAGAUUCGACGAGCCUGGAGAGUGCAACUUUUAAUUAGAGCAGAAGUGAGAGAGCGAAAUGUUAUGUCGCGUGAAAUCUGAAAUUUUAGGUUUCAGGGAUCAAAGUAUAAGACUAAGAGCCAAAUCUAAAAAAAUUUAGGUCGCGCGAAAAUUUUUAGAGCGCGCGCGUUAUAAAACGUCGAAAGAAAAACCAAGGCGAAAGUUCUACAAGUACCGACGUAAAUUUAAUAUUCCACGACGGAAACUUCAUUUUUCGGAUUAAGAACGUAAGGCCGUUCAUUUUUCGGAUUAAUUUUAAAUUUAUUUUGAAUUUUUUAUAUAACGACGACUGAAAAACCACGUCGGUGUUAAGAAAUUAAAGACGUUGUAAAUUAUAUAAACCGACUUACAUAUUANNNNNNNNNNNNNNNNNNNNNNNNNNNNNNNNNNNNNNNNNNNNNNNNNNNNNNNNNNNNNNNNNNNNNNNNNNNNNNNNNNNNNNNNNNNNNNNNNNNNNNNNNNNNNNNNNNNNNNNNNNNNNNNNNNNNNNNNNNNNNNNNNNNNNNNNNNNNNNNNNNNNNNNNNNNNNNNNNNNNNNNNNNNNNNNNNNNNNNNNNNNNNNNNNNNNNNNNNNNNNNNNNNNNNNNNNNNNNNNNNNNNNNNNNNNNNNNUAAACCCUAAACCAUAAAACUAGAAGUGAUUUUAUGACUCAUCAAAACAAUUUUGUUUUGGAUGGUCAUUUUAAAUUUUUGUUAUUCAAAAUGAAUUUUUUCAAGGUUUAUGUGGAAGAAAAUAUAUCAAUGACUUCAUAGGAGAUGACUUUUCAAUUUUCUGAUUUAUUUUAAAUUUAUUUUGAAUAUUUUGAUAUAAAAAUAAUAAAAUAUUCUUACCACAACAACAAACCACGUCGGUGUUAAUAAAUUGUAGACGUUGUAAAUUGUAAUAGACUACUAAGUCGUUAAAAUGACGUCGUUAAAAUGAGAAACCAUGGCGGCUAUUUAACUAUACGACGUAAAAUAUAUAUUCCACGACUUAACCGCUGUCGUUACAUAAACGUCGUCGAUGAUACCCUGAACCCUUAAGAAAUUGAAGAUGUUGUAAACCAUAAACGACUCAAUUGUUCAAAGAACGUCGUCUAACUAUAUUUUUACGUCGUAUUUGUUUAAAACACGAAACAACAAAAUACGACGGUUUUUGACUUUAUUAGGUCGUUGGAAAAGUAUUACACGUCGGUUAAGCAAUUUGUAUGUUUGUUUUUUUUUUAAUUUAAGAAAACCUCAACAAAUUUUUACAUUACAUAUUAUAGAGAAAAUUUGUACAUUAUACAUAAAUAUCAAGUGUUCAAUAAUUGCCCUGUUUAAUAAUUUGGAAAACAAACUCUGCCCAUUCAUUCCGGACUUCAUCAAUGGCUUCUUGGGGGUAUGAAGCUUCCUGGUUUCCCUUGGCAUACUGCAUAAACAAUGACUAUUAGGGUUUAUAAAUAAAAAGAAAUUCAAUCACAGACGACGAUAUUUUUCAUAACCGACGUAGUAUAUCCAUUCAACGACGUUAAUUUUACAUGACCGUCGUUGAUAAUACAAAAAACGACGUGAAAUGUAUGAAGGUAAUUUCUUCUUACCUUAUUCUCAAACCCCAAGGAAGGAUCCAUGAUGAUGUCCCUCAUGAAGCGCAUCACAUAAUACCCGCAUUCGACAUUGCUGGGUUGCUUUGGUGUGCCUGAGAGAGUUUUCCAAAUUACAUUUUUACGUCCUGCUCGGCCUAUGUGGGUAUUAUAUAUUUUUAAAGCACUGUUCACGAUGUUUUUCGCCUCUUCGUCGACCACACGAUGACCUGGCAGAGGAUCCAGAAAAUAGACGGUCUCCUUCUUUGCUCUUACAAUCAGCAAGAUCCAAUGACGGCUGCACAAAAUUAAUAUAAAAACGACGGUUAUUUACAAAAACGACGUAUUAUAGUAUUUCACACGACGAAAUAAAGUAGAUAACGACGACAUUAUAUAUUUAUCACGACGAUAAAUAAAUACCGACGUGGUUAGUAGUUUCAAACGACUAAAUAAAAUAAAACACCGACGUGGUUAGUUUAUAUGCUGUCAUUUAUUGAAAAUCAUAAAAACAAAAUCCUAAGGAGACUAACCCUGGAUUGUAAGGCAUCAUGAAAAUCUGUUCACCGUCUGUCUUCUGAAGUCGAGCUGCUACCAGUCGUGAUCUUUCAGUUAUUGUGCCAGAGUUGGCACUAACUGUAGCAGGGUCGAUAAAGCCAACCAUGCUGCACAUAUUGGCUUGUUUCAAAACAUCGUGUAAGUACCUAAAUACAUAAAAUAAUAUAAACAAGUCAGCACAAACAAACACGACGGUUAUGUAUAAAAAAACGACGUAUUAUAAUAUUUCACACGACGUACUGAAAUAGAUGAGGACGUUAUAAUAUAUUUAUCACGACGGUAGUUAGUUAAGACGACGUGGUUAGUUAGUUAAGACGACGCAAUAUAUAAACCAACGAGGUAUUAUUUUAGAAGUACAAACCUCAUAUAUACAGCCAAUACAGUAGCUCCAAUUUCUUCCAUGCCUGCAAAUUGUGUAAUAUCUUCAGGCAUGAGGAAGGUAUCGCGCUCACCACCAAACACCUCCUUAUCAAUUGUAAAUUGGAGUGUCUUAUCCUCAGGCAGGAGUGUCGUUUCCACAAAACGACAAAGGGUUUUUAAAGAAGAUGGCGCCUCCAUAUUUGAAUAAGCACCAACUUCAAUAACCUGUUUAAAGAAAUAAAAAAAAUGACGUGGUAAUUCAAUAAAGACGACGGUUUAAGGAAUAAAACGUCGUCUUAAAAGUAUUUAAACGACGGUAAAAAAACUGUCGUGGUAAUUCAAUAAAGACGACGGUUUUAUGAAUAAAGCGUCGUUUGAAACCAUUUAAACGACGGUGCAAAAAUCGUCGUUUAAAUAUUUUAUUACGUCUUAAAAAAAGUCCGCCGUCUAAGUUUGAAACAAACGACGGAUUAAAUAAAAAUAUCGACGUCUGAAAUUUUGAAAAACAAAUAAAAAAGGCAAAGUUAUGUGAACAUACCUUGUCGUCAUGCUUUUCUUCAUCUUCUUUCUCCUUUUCUUCUUCCUUCUCUUCAUCUCUUUUUUCUUCUUCCUUCUCUUCAUCUGGCUGAUGUUUCCCCAUUUUGGCAGUAUCAUCCUCCAAAUGUAGGGAUCUCACAUCACCUCCAGAGCAGCUAGCUUUGUCAGACAUUGGAUUUUUGGGGCUUUGGCUAAUUCUUGGUUUAAGCAUGCUUGGAUCAAAAUUGGGAAUUAAUUGGGAAAGCUAACUCAGGAAAUGCUCCCUCUCAGCCUCUACCAAUUGUUUUGUCCUAGCCUCCAUCCUUAAGGCCUCUUCCCUUGCCUUAGCCUCCAUCUUUUUAGUCUCUUCUUGAAGGAGAACUCUUAAACUGUCCUUCAAACGGUCGUCAAAGCUCACCCUCUGUGGUUUGGGCAAAUUGAAAUAUUGCCUUGGGGAAACACCAGCACCAACUCCCCUCACUCUGCCUGGAUGCUCGGGGCCCAAAGCCAUGGUCAGCACAUCAUUGCUGCCAUCUACUCUGACUUUGCCUUCCGAGACUUGUUUCUGCAAUUCAUCCUAAAAAAAGAUAAACAAAAAAACACACGACGGUUAUUUAUGUACAAACGACGUAUUAUAUAAUUUCACACGACGCAAUAACGUAUAAACCGACGUUAUUAUAACUUAUCACGACGGUAGUUAUACCGACGUGGUUAUUUAUUUAAAACGACGAAAUGAAUAAACAACCGACGUCUUAUGCUAUAAUUAAAGAAAACAGAGUAGUGAUUCCUAUUUAGACCGUUAACGACGUUGUUAAAAAAGUUUCGACGUGGUAAUAUCAUUCAAACGACGCCAAAAUGAACCACCGACGUCUUAUGCUAUAAUUACAGAAAACAUAGUAGUGAUUCCUAUUUAGACCUUUAACGACGUUUUUAAAAACUUUUCGACGUGGUAAUAUCAUUCACACGACGAAAAAUAUAACAUACAACGUAAUAAGAAUAAUUCACAGUUUAAUAAAAAUUUAAAACAGAGUGAUAGUAGGCUUACAAUUAAUUUUGCUUUCUCUGCCACCUUUGGAUCAGGGAUGUUACCAUGUUUGUCCUGUCUAGCUCUCUUCCAUAAGGUAGAUCGAUCAAUUUCUACCCCAGGCAUGGUUUCCUCCAAUUGAUCCUCCAAUCCAGCAUAUCCUUUUCGAGACAAUCGAUGAUUGUACUCGAGUUUCUCCCUAAUCUGUGCAUGUUGAGAAUGCACAGACUCAAAAUCUUUGGAUAGCCUUGAAGCUACAAAGGCAUCCCAUUGUGCUUUCUCUAUGAAUUUAUAUGUUUCAGGGGGUUGGCUUAAUUUCUCCCUGUCAUUGGUGUAUGGAAGGAUAUAAUGCCUCGUUAGUGUAGACUUGAAAUCCUUCCAUUUCUUGGAAGCAGAAGCUAAAACAGAGGUCUUGCCCCCUUGGCCUACGACAAAAGCCAUGUCAACUGCUUCCCAAAUCUGCUCCUUUAUAUCCUUGGGGAUUUGGGACCAUUUCUUGUCCACAAGUGGGAUCCUGGAGCGUGCCAACACACCAAUAUACGACUGCAUCUCAAUAUAUGCUUGGCCAACACCUUUCCCCCUUUUAUUGUACUCAACAAUUGGCCUCAGUUUCUGAAGCUUUCUCUUCACAACACGAGGCAUUGUGCUCAUACCUCGACCAGUCUUUGAAUCAUCAGAGAUUGUUGUCUGGCUGGUUGGUUCUGUCUCAGUAGAUGAUGAAGCAAACUUCAUCUUCUUCGAAGACUUCAUCUCCUUCGAAGACUUCAUCUCCUUCGAAGACUUGUCUUGAGGAGCUACCAUUCCAAGCUUCUUGGAGCCAGAAUCCUUAGUUUGUUGUUGAGAAACCAUUUUAACAGACAAAACUGCAAGUGAAAAUAUUUCAGGAAAACAUUAAGAACACAAACGACGGUAUUAAAAAAAUACGACGUAUGAUAUGAUUUUAGACGACGCAAUGAAAUAAUCUCAGACGUAAUAAAUGUUUAAAACCAUUAUUUAUAUAACGUCAUGGUAUAUAUGUUCACACGACGUCAAUAGUAAUACACCGUCGUGGUAAACUAUUAUUUAUAUAACGUCGUGGUAUUUAUGUCCAUACGACGUCAAUAGUAAUACACCCUCGUGGUAUUAACAUUCACACGACGUAAAACAAUAAGAUAUUUUGUCGUCUAUAUUAGAUACCAACCCUAGUUUCUUUUUCUUUAUAUUUUAUCAAAUAAGGGAAAAACAAAAAUCAUUGUUCAGAGAAAUCAAACCUGCAAUUAAACAAGCAUAUAAAAAAAGACUAUUAUUUUAAAAACAACUUUGUCAAUUUUCAGACGACGCUAGAACAACUGACGAACCGUCGUGGUCUACCGUCGUCUUAUUUAGUUGAGGUAGUUGUCUUCAAAGUUGGAAACUUUCCCUCUUUGUCUGUAUAUUUUAUCAAACUUGGAAAGAAGUAAAAUGAUUUUGGCCAGAAAAAAGGUAAAAAGAUUUUUCAAACAAAAAACGUAUGAGCAUGCAAAACAGUAACCAAAAUAGUGAAAAUGAAAGCUUACCUUUUGCGUGCAAUGAAAGCAAGAGGAAGAUGAUCGAUGUUUAAGUUCAGAGACGACGAAGAAGACGAGAGGAAGACGAUGAGAAACUCUGACAAUGCUCUGACAAGGAAAAAAGACGAAAAGGUUUCUCUAGGAGAUUGAAAUUUUUAAUCGGGUUUGGAAACAGUGCAUGUGUAAGUCGAAAAGUUGCUUACAUAUAAAACCAUUUCAAAAAAAAUAAUACGGCGGUUACAUUUAACUACGUCGUUUUUAACUAACACGACGCAAUAUUUUUCGUUCGACGUGGAAUCAUUUCAUUUAACGUCGUUAGGUUUAAUAUAACCGACGUGGAUUUUAAUUUUUAAAUUAUGAAUAGAAUUUUUUUUCCCGUGACCUUUCAGUUUAUUUUUCAAUUACAGUGCGUUAUAAAUAGAGUUUUUUUUCCGGAGGAAAUUUAAAACGAAGGAAAUUAAUAUUCUGCAAUAUGUAAAGUUUCUUUUUUGGAUGACAGAUUUAAAUAAAAUAAGAAUAUAAAAACAACUAAUGUGUAAGUCAAGUAGACGAAAAGUUGCUUACAUAUAAAACCAUUUCAAAAAAAAUAAUACGGCGGUUACAUAUAACUACGACGUAUAAAUUACAAAAUACGACGGUACAUUUAACUUCGGACGUGGUAAAUAAAUACGACAGUAGUUUGUAGGUACCGUCGUAGUAAACUCAAAAAUUAAAGUACAUAAGUAAUAACUCGCGUCAUGGUAGAUUAUUUAACACGUCGUUUUUAUUAAUUUACCGACGUGGAUUUCUGUAAUAUACGUCGAUCAUACCGACGUUGAUUUUACAAUUUAAACGGCGAUUUUUUUGUAAGAACCGCCGUUGGUUUUAAAAAUUUAUUCUAUAAAUUUGUCGCUUUCAUUCAUUUUCGGUUUACAUUUAAGGUUCCAAGUUCUUCCUCUCUCAGUCUCUCAUGUCUCAAAGACAAUAAUUUGGAUGUUUUCUCAAAGAGAAAUUGAGCUUACUCGCAUCAAAUAUAUGUCCACAAGAAGAAGCUUGUCAACUAGCCUUCUCACUUCCUUGAUCAAGCCUGAUAGGACACUUAGUGCUUCUGAAUACUCCUUGCUUUCCAUCAAAAGAGAUGCAAGCCUGGCCUCCACUCGCUGUCGAAGGAAAGUUCGCUUCUCAGGGAAAUCUGAAGAUCAGAUGUGCCUAAUCCUCUGCUUGAUUUUCUUGCCUAAGAAGAUCCGUCGGAUUUGUGAUAGCCUCUUCCUUUAUCCGUAGAGCUUCAGAAGAAGAAGAUGGGUUUCAAGAAUGCGAUAAAGAAUAGAAAUGGCUUCAGAUGGCCUCUAAAGCAUGAGCAAUUGAAUCAGUAGUUUCUGGGAGAUAUGAUGAAGACAUUGUCAAUGCUUUGAACUAUACAAGUCCUGCAGAAAGAUAUGUUAAAGAAACUGAAACAACGGCAGUUUUCUGUUCUACCGUCGUCUUUCCUCGUCGUCUAUAUUAAGUUAAGAUGGCGGUAGAUUUAUAAUUACCGACGUAGAUUAUUUUGUUAAACGUCGUUAAGUGUACUACAACCGACGUGGAUUUUAUUUUUAAAUUAUAAAUAGAGUUUUUUUUCCCGUAUUCUUUCAGUUUUAGUUUUCAAUUCCAAAGCGUGAUAAAUAGAUUUUUCUUUCCCGAGGAAAUUUAAAAUGAGGGAAAUUAAUGUUCUAGAAUUUGUAAACUAACACGACGCAAUAUUUGCAAAUCUGUGUCAUCUAUUAAGAUUAUGAUGUGGAACAGAGUUCCAUCUGGUAAGAUUUCGUAACCCUUGGGAUCUCAGACAAAUCUGAUUAUGUCGGCGGUAUUGUAUAUAAACCGUCGUGGUUAUUUCAAUGCUUGUCAUUAAGUAGAUCUACCGACGUAGGAUACGAAAAUCAAAGAAAAAAAUUGUUAACAAAAAUUCUUAUUAAGACGACCGUUAAAAUUAAAGGUACGACGUAUAAAAUGAAUAAAUACGACGAUAAAUUUUAUUGUACGAUUUAAAGAUAACGUCGUAGAACUAUACGAGAAUGACGUCGAUAUAUUUAUAUUUUCCGUCGUUGUAAAUUAAUUUAAUACGGCGAUAUUUUGUAUUUUAAAGCCGUGGAUUUGUUUGUAAUUAUACGGCGUCUUAUACGAAAACCUCGUCGUGUUAUUUUAUGAGUAAAAACGGCAGUUUUUAUUGAAAUCGUCGUCUUUACUUUCUACGUCGGUCGAUUCAUAACUUCUGCCGUUCUUUGUUGGCAUUGAUUUUACACUGCGGAAAUCUGUUUCAAAUAGACGUCGGUUGUUUAAUUAUGUACGUCGUUGUUUUUGAAUAGCCAUUUGAAACUCCAUUUUUUAGUUGUCUAAGGUUGUAUUACACGACGGUGUUUUUAGAACCGUCGUCUUUUUAUAAAUCACGACGGUUUUCACUUAGACCGUCGUUGUUUUCUGGUCGUCUUUUUCACUUUUUGUAGUAGUGGGAAGAUGAUCGUGCCAGUUGGUCCACUUGUUCAAGAGCCAAUGGAUUUAAAAGUCGAUGAGGAAACAUGGAUCAUGAAAUGGCUGAACAAAAGGGAGAGGGCAUCGGUUGUGUAUGUUUGCUUUGGCAGUGAGUACUUUCUAACCAAGGAGGAAAUCGAAGAGAUAGCUCAUGGGUUAGAGCUUAGCAAAGUGAGCUUUAUUUGGGUUAUAAGAUUUCCAAACGAAGAGAAAGGUAGACGGGUUGAAGAAGUAUUACCAGAAGGGUUUUUAGAGAGGGUGGGGGAGAAGGGAAUUAUAGUGGAGGGUUGGGCAAAAAUAUUGAAGCAUUCUAGUGUUGGUGGGUUUGUGAGUCACUGUGGAUGGAGCUCAGUUUUGGAGAGCGUCAAGUUUGGUGUUCCAAUUAUAGCCAUGCCUAUGCAUCUUGACCAGCCGAUUAACUCUAGAUUAGUAGAGGAGGAGGGUGUUGGUGUGGAGGUUAAGAGAACCACAGAAGGCAGCCUGCAAAGAGAAGAGGUAGCAAAGGUGAUCAGAGACGUGGUUGUGGAGAAAAUUGGAGAGGGAGUGAGGAAAAAGGCAUUGGAAAUAAGAGACAACAUGAAAAAGAAAGAGGAUGCAGAGAUUGAUGGGGUGGUGGAGGAAUUGAUGCAACUCUGUACGAAAACUGGAUCGAAUGUCAACUUUUAACUGGACACACUUGAAUAAUAAUCAUGUGUAGCAUGAUUAUUGCUCACGUCAGUGUAUAAAAAUCAAUGUUGGUUUUGACUUCUUUGUAGUUUCAAGUGGUGUUGGUUUUCUUUGUAGUUUGAAAAGAGGUUGACCUGAGUACUCAUUUUCUAAUGAUUUUGAAUCCUCACAUCGGCUUAUGUGUGAAUGUUUGAAUGCUCACGUCAGCAUAUGUAUGUAUAUAUACAUGUAUUCAUCUGUGAAUAAAAUUUUUGAAUAUGAAAAUUCUCAUAAUUAUCCUAGAAACUGAGACUCCAUCCAUUCUCAACUGAGACUUCUAUAAGAAAUUGUCGUCUGCAGAAAGAGUAAAAUGGACUUCAGAUUCUCAUCAACUCUUCAAGGGAAGUGAUCAAAGGAAGAAUAAAUAAGGAAGUUAGACACCUAUAAUUUAUGAGUAGGUUUUGCUCCAAUGGAGAACAAAGGCCAAGUUCCUUUUUUUUUUUUUUUUUCCUUUUUCUGGGGUCAGAGUCCAAGUUCUUUCUAGAGAGUGAAAGGGGCAGAUGUGAGAGUGAGGGUUGGUGGGGUCAGGGAUAAUUUAUUUUCUGUAUUUGAAUUGGGGCAGCAUAUUUGAGCAGUGUUUAAAUAUAUAUAUAUAUAUAUAUAUUUUUAUUUUUUUAUUUUUCUUCUUAAAUUCAGGCCUUGGGCAGUGUUUACCGUUAGUUGGUGACCAGGUCAACGGGACUGCAAGGGAACAUGCUUAAAUUGUAAUAAUUUCUUUUUUUAGGUAUUUGUUUAUGAAACUCUAAUAUGUAGAUAAGCAAAUUACUUCAAAGCAAAAGAGGAGAAUAUAAAAGAACACACAAAGACUUUAUUUUUAUUUUUAUUUUUGUUAGAGAAAACACACAAAGACAUUAUUGAAAGGAUAUAUUCAUGACAUUUUAGACAAUGCAACAUAAAUGACAGAAGUCAUUAAAAUUUUAUAGUGUAAGAAACACGUGUACUUCUUAGCAAACGAGUAUUAAAUUUGCACAUAAAUAUGAACAUUGUGCCACUCAAAAUUCUCAAUAUCAUACGGUUAUGAAAAUGUCAUCAAUUAAUCAUAUCUAAAGGUUUAUUUCAAUCAAAUUAUUUGUCAUCAAGCAUGUUGUUGACAGAAGAAUAAAAAUAUAGCAUUUCGCUUCAUUUCCUUAAAUAGGUGAGCUUACUAUGAAUUGAGAGUCUGGGUGUAACACAAGUUUGUAUGCGCAGCAGCGCAAGAUAUUAAGGAAACGAAUAAAAUACAUGUAUAUAUACUGCCCAAAACACUGCAACCAUUAAGCUACUUUAUAUGAUACAAACCUUAAAAAAUGAUGUCACACUCCGGGAUCGACUCCGCCAUAGCACGAUAUUAUCCGUUUUGGGCCCCCCUUCUGGCCCUCACGGUUUUGUUUCUGGGAACUUACGAGCAACUUCCCAGUGGGUCACCCAUCCUGGGAUUGCUCUAGCCCUCAACUCGCUUAACUUCGGAGUUCCCAUGACUCCGAAGCCAGUGAGCUCCCAAAAGGCCUCGUUCUAGAUGGAUGCGGACGUGCACAUAUAAGGCACAUCACCUCAUCUCCGUUGGUUGAUGUGGGAUCUUACAAUCCACCCCCCUUAAGGGCCCGACGUCCUCGUCGGCACACUCGCACCACACGACAGAGUGGCUCUGAUACCAAAUUGUCACACCCCGGGAUCGGCUCCGCCGUAGCACGAUAUUGUCCGCUUUGGGCCCCCCUCUCUGGCCCUCAGGGUUUUGUUUCUGCGAACUCACGAGCAACUUCCCAGUGGGUCACCCAUUCUGGGAUUGCUCAAGCCCUCAACUCGCUUAACUUCGAAGUUCCCAUGACUCCGAAGCCAGUGAGCUCCCAAAAAGUCUCGUGCUAGAUGGAUGCGGGCGUACACAUAUAAGGCACAUCACCCCCUCUCCGUUGGUUGAUGUGAGAUCUUACAAAUGCAGGCAAUUAAGGGACAACUCACGCCAAGAGACAAAGAGAAAAAUGGAAUAUGGUGUAUGCAUAGAGUGGGCGACAAUUGGCAUUGGUAAGGAGUACGGGAAGUCUAGAAUAAUUAGGUUAAUUUUUUUUUUUUCGACUAUAACAUCAAAAGACCCUAGAUUUGGGGUCAUUCUCAAUAUAGGCCUUGGAGUAUUAAUUUUAUCAAUUUACACCUCCAAUGUUUUCAAAUUUGUCCAAUUUUAUCCUUCCAUUAACUUGAUCGUGUUGUCAAUCGUUAACUGCUAUUGUGAUCACCAUGGGACCCAACAAUUUAAGUUUUUUUGACUUAAAAAAUAAUUUAAAAUUUUAUAAAUUAAUUAUACAACCUAAGAAAAAAAUGUAAAAUUGAAUAAAAUAAAAUAAAAGCAAACCCUACCAUGCUUCCACUUUCCCUAGUCGCACCAACCCCUACUGACCUCUAUACCCACCGCCACCCAUUCCAACCCGAGCCCCAGCCACAACUGCCCCCAACUCCAACAACAUCCACAAUCUUCUCAUUAGUAGCAGCAACGGCAUCACCAUCCCUCCCUCCCUCCCUCCUAGCCCAACUCAUUGCUCCUUUCUCCUAUCCCUUUCCCUCUCCCUCAAUUGUAAUCACCCAACAAGCCUAACAACGCGAGUUGAAGAAGGAGAAGUUGUUCAACAGUAAUGAUCCUAGGCAUCAAAGUUGAAGUGUUUAAGAGUUUGAUUGCUAGAGGGAUCAAUGUUGAAAAGUUGAAGACUUUUAUGAACGAUAAAUGUCCGAUCGUGCGAUCAUGAGUAAUCCGACCGUUCGAUUUGGACCAAACUGGCAUGACAUGUUUAUUAAACCUUAUUGAACCCAUAGGAACUUUUCAGAUCGAAAAAUCAUAGGUCGUGGGCCCCGCAGGCCAGGUUGACCAAGAUUGGGUAGUUUGACUCCUUAGUUGACCGUGAGUCUUCUGAGGUAGUUUCACUCUUCAAGAAGUAUUAGAAUGAUCUUGUAAACGAGCCUCGACUAUUGUUUGAAUUAUUUUUGGGUCUUUAUGGAAUUUAUUCUUUCGUGAGUGGACUUUGUUCUGAUAGUGCAUUGUUUUUACCGAUUGAAUUAAUAUGCAUUAAAUAUGGAUUGUUCUGAUUAUGGGAUUUAUAUGCAUAUUUAUAUAUAUGUGUGUGUGUUGCUUAAAAAGGGAAAUUUUGACUAUUUCGAUUUUGAGGGUCUUGGUUGUUUUGAAUAUGGAUUUAUGUUUGAGAAGUUUCAAAGCAUUUUAUGAUGAAGUAUUUGGAGAAAAUAUAUUAAUAUGAAUUUGGGGUACGUUAUUGACUGGUUAUGUGAAUUGUUUGAUUAUGGAUGGAUCUUGAGUUUAUUAUAAUAUUUUAUGGUAUUCCCGGAUGUUAUUUCUGAUAUUCGAAGAUCAUGCAUUAUUGGAAGUGAUGGGAUCUCUAGGAGUUAUUGACUUAUUUAUUUAUUUACCUAUUAUUAUUAAUAUUAUGAUUAUUAUAAAAGUAUUUGACUGAGUGUUAUUGGAUGAUUUAAUGUUUAUGAGUUAUUAUGUAAUCGGAUUUCGACGUGAAUAAUAAAUUAGUUAAAUAUCUAAGUACAUGUCUAUAUUUAAUAUUUAUACAUAUAUACUCAGUGGUUUGAAAACGAUAAAUUAUGGACACUAGUUCUCAACAGUAUGGGGUAUAAAUUCAAAGGUAGUUGAGAACUCAUUUUUGGAAAGUUGAGAAAAGAUUUGAAAUAUGAAUUUGUGGAGUAUGUGAAAUUUUAUGAUAAGUUUCGGUAUAUGAUUUUGAAACCCACCCUAGGGUAGCCCCUCAGUUGCCUUGAAACAGUUUUGUCAUUUAUGAUAAUGCCCCACAAGUUUCGAGGAUGCUUGACCCGUGUGGUGCGAGGAUAUGCGUUCUUGGGCUGACUACAUGUCCCUCGAGUUCUGCGAGGAUUGCUACUUUGGGUUGAUUUUGUGUCUCCGAGACUUGCGAGGAAUGCUACUCGGGUUGACUUUGGGUUUCCAAGGCCUGCGAGGAUAUGUCACAUUAUGUGACACAAGGAAUUGACGGUACAUUAUUGGAAUUGACGGAAAAUUCAUGGAAUUGAUGGAAUACUAUUAUAAUUGACAGAAAAUUAUCAGAAUUGACAGAAUAUUAAAGGAAUUGACGGAAUAUGAAUGGGGGUACUCCUAGGUGGAGAAUAUUCAGGUUUUAAGAUGUUUAAACAAAAAUUGAGGAUUUUAUAUUGGUAUUUUUGGGUAAAAGUUUUAAUACAUAUUUUUCUGAUUUUAUGAGACAAGGAAUGAAAGUUUUACAAGUUUUAAGGAUUUUAUACAAUGCACAACUAUAUAUAUAUAUGUAAUUAUAUACUAGUCUCUUCGCACGAGCUUCCGCGCCUGCGAGAGGUUUUUAAAAAAAAAUUAAAAUUUAUUUUAGAAUUAAAAAAGACAAUGGGUAGUUGUGUUCCAUAAAAAUAGGAUCCAUUAUCUGAUUUUUCUUUUAAUUUUAAUUUUUUUAAAAUAUGAAAAAGUGUGAAUUUACCAUAUUAUCCUCAUUUAAUUAAUAAUCACAAUUCUUAAUGUUUGCAUUGACCAAUAGCAUUUUCUAGUAUUUGAAUGUUUCACAAUUCUCUGCAUUUUACUUUAUAUAUAUAGAUGCACAUAUAUAAUGAGUGGAAGAUUGUUCUGAAAUCAAUGGUCCUUGCUUGAAUUUCAGCAGAUUGAUUUGAAUUACCCUUGUGUGGUCACGUGUUAUAUGUGGUCAACAUAAAUAUAGACCACAUGUAAUCUAUGACUUAUAAGUCCGUUUUCUAGUAGUGUGCGUUUUGGCAAGUAAGUUUGAGGCUUUUUGAACAGAAAGAGAACUACACAAUAUUCAUAUCAUGAUGGAAAUUACUCAGCAUAACUUUAUACAAAAAUUAUCUACCUUGGCAUCACCAUUUCACUUUUCAGAAUAGCUUUAAGCAAUAAUGAUACACUCCCUAAAAUAAUAAAGCGCCGAACAUCAAAAAUUAGGUAAUGCUAGGAACUUUCUCUCUAACUUUUUUUUUUUGGAACUUCUCCAUUUCCCUCAUGACAUGUGUCAUUUUCUUUACACUUAAUACAAUGACAUUAAUACAUCAAACAACCUGAUUUUGUUUUCCAUAUUUACCCUUAUUUGAAGUAUUGACUUUACUUUAAUUUUUUUUUAUUUUUUUUACAGCUUUCUUAAUACUUUGUAAAAAAUUAUUAGAUUAAUUUAUUAAAUAUUAAAAAAAUAAAAAUAAAAAACCUAUCUCAAGUCAUCCCCACCUUCUUCCCCAAAGCCCAGCACCUCCAUCUUCCCCACCAUCUCGUUAGUGCCACCCAUCUCCACCCCACUCUCUCCCCACCACAUUGCCAUAUUCUCUUCCUUCUAUCUCCCUCUUUUCUCUCUUCCCCCAAUCUCUCUUUGAGAAGACCUGUAGGAUAUCUAUAAAUGCCUGGAGAAGGUUAAACAGGCUAAUUCGAAUUUUUGCAAUAAAUAAUGAUCAACCUUUGAAGCAGGAUUGAUAUGAGUUAUCAAUCCUGAGAUGUGCAAAGCUUAAAAUAAAAGAACACGCAGAUAUUUAUUUUACGUGGUAAAACCCCACCUCUGGGGAAAAUCUACGGGACUCCUUAGUCCAGAACGAAUCCACUAUAGAAUUGAGAUUACAAGAAAUACGCACACACACUUGUCCUAGACUCAAUCUAGACAAUGUUUAUCGAUUUCUUCGUAACUCAGCUUCUGUCACGGGAUGAUCUUUGACACUCCUUUUGUUGAAUGCAAUACUGGUCACGAUUGCUUCAAGCUCACCGGAGGAUAAACACACAAAGUGUCUUGGUGUCCUUAACCAUAUGAGACACCGACAUGCAUAUGUAUGCAAUAUGAAUGAUGAAUGAAUUCGAUCAAUCACCAAGCAACCGAAGCACUUGAUGACUUUCCGAAUAAACUAAGUGUAGCAGCUUUUCCCAAAAUAUAUUCAAUAUGCAUAAAUGGUUUUGGACGUUGAAAAAGCUCACACUUACAAGAAGGCAAAGCCUCCUUUUAUUCACAGCAAGUUUCUCACAGGAGAGAAACUUGCGAGACUGCACUUCCAAAACAAUUAUAACUCUAAGACCAAUUGAACUAAAACUCUUUUAACCUGGUGCAAUAUGAUCUCCUCAAUGAGACACCACACAAGGGCCAAACACUUAUCAAAUUAACAAUAUAAAUUCUGAUUCAAUAAAAAUACAAAGUCUAAUUCAUUAAGGACUCUUAAUGAUGUCACCAACCGACUCAAAUUUUAACUUCAAUUACAAAGACCCAAAACAAAACUUCAACUAUAACUCCUAUCAUGAAUGCAUGAUAUGUCAUGAUUUACCUGUUGUCAAGUUUCUCAUAUGGCCAGGGUAUGCCUCGGAGGUAUGGGAUUGAAAGAGUAGUGCCAAAACUUCUAGUAGCAAUUCCUCACAAACUAAUUUUCAUCCUAUACUACAGUCUAGGAAAUGUCAAUACGAUUUUCGUACUAACAAUCUCCCCCUUUGGCAUUUCCUGGACAAAACAUUGGAUUACAUAUCAAACACGUUUACAAGGAAACAAAACUACAUAACCAACUUUGCUUUGUCAAACAGAGAUUCAAUUCUUGCAUUGUCUGCACACAAACAAGCAGACUACCAGUGAAGCAUAAUAGAAUGAUAUAAUAAUAACCAGAACUUAGCACAGAUAAACAGCAAAUUUUCAUAUGUCAAGAGGUUAAGCAAAGUACUACAAAUUCUACUUCCAGGGACAGAAAACAACUACUCCCCCUUAAUCUCAUAUGUACCACAAAAUGUCUACUCCCCCUAAACCUCAUAUGUACCACAAAAUAUUCUCCCCCUUUUUGUGUAGGAAAUCCAAAGGAACACAGAGAUAACGUUAAAAUAGAACAAUCCAGAAACAGAACAGAGGAACCUUAGAGACUGCGAGCCCGAGGAGGACGAGGAGGAUCAGGAGGCUGAAUGUGCCCUGCAAGUGACAGCAACAGCUCACUAUGGGUGUCAGAGAGCGAAUCCAAAAGAGCCUGUUGCUCAAUGGAGAAACCACCAGAAGAACAGUGAGCAUCGCUGCGGUGUAAAGUGACCCGGUUGUUGACUUUGAUGGCAUCGGAUGAGCCAAAGUCAUCUGUCGGCAGUGCAGGGACACCAGCAUGAGCAGCCAAGGCGGUGAUAAUUCGAGGAAGAACAAGACUGGAAGUUGGAAUGGUGGCAUUUGUAGCACCAGCGCCAAUGAGGCUUUCACGAACAUAGAACUCAACACUUACAGAUUGCUCAAUCACAAGCUGGAAAAGAAUAUGAGCAGCCUUCCAACUCACUUUCCCAUGUUGGGAAGUGGGAUUCAGAUAAUUUCGCACAAGCAUAUACAGAGUACGGGUCCACUGAGACAUCAUACCCAAAGAGAGCUCGGUGGGGAGCACCUCGGGUGGAGACACAUAGAGGUGAUUCACCAGCUGACGGCGCGGAAGAAAUCCUGGAACUGGUUCACAAGAACUGCCAGAGCGAAAAGGAGUCAAACCAAGGGCAGCCGAAAUAAAGUAGAAACUGAGCGGAAUGGCGAUUCCACGCACACGCACAACCAAACCAGACAGAGCAACAGAGGCAGCGGAGACAUCGGGGAAAUUGGCAUAAAAUUCCCGAACAAUCUGGAAAUUUGGCAGAGGCAACCCUCGAACCAAUGGCAGGAGACGAUGCCGAGUAGAGCACACCGGAGACACAAAGCGAGAGACCGGUGGAUGAGGAGACUCUCGAGACAUGGGGCUGGAGCACGAGCGCCGGGAGGAGGACGGCUGAGAUGAGGUGUCAGCCGGAGAGACAACCUAAGAAGGAGAAGCAUCAGUCCGGCGGCGCACGGAGCGAGAAGGAGGGUGAGUAGUGGCAGAGGAGGAAGAAGACUGACGGCUCCGUGUAGUGACCAUGGGGACGCGACGGAGCAAAGCACAGAGUAGCAAAUGCUAAAAACUCUGGAAGACGGCAAUGGGGCGGAAGAGAGACCAAAUGUGACCGAGGAAGUUGACCUAACUGCACAGUUUUUUUUUUGUUUUUUGUUUUUUUUUUGUUGAAAAGUAUAAAUAAAAUAAAGAAUAAAUAAAUAAAAAAAGAAAACGGAAAAGAGUAAGGAGGAGUCGGUAAGAACCAGAACAUAACAAGAACAAAAGCAACAUACUUAGGACAGAAGACUUAAAACACCCAAGACAUAAAAACACACUUGUUAUGCAGACCCAAAGCUCUCUAGAAGAUGUAAUUAUUUUCCAGUCAUAAACAUGCCAAGUAUGUGAGCAAGAAGAGACAGUAGUAGCAGACCCAUCGCUGUCUGAAACACAUAAGAAGCAAAGCAUGCAGAGGCAAAAGGAAGUGACCACAUUUAACACACAAACUCACUGAUAAUCAAUGAGGCAUACCACAAGCAUGGUGAAAAAUGAACACCAUCAAAUGAGUCCACCAUCAAGAAGCAAAGAUGUGAAGUGAACUCCGUUCAACGAAGCCCAAAAAAUAUGUCCACCAAAGACUGAUCCCACCAAAGAUGACACAAACACUGAGUGCACUGUAAGUAUAAGCAGAUCAGUUUUUUUUUUUUUUUUAAUUUUGGUGGCUUACUUUAUUUAGCUUUCGACAUGAUCCAUGUAACAGAUGGUCAAUCAGUGUGCUCACGUCAUAUGACCGGAAGCAACUGGGUGAUAAAGCACCCCUGGGGAAAUACUGAUCCGAAUCAUGAAGGCUCCAAAGAUAAUCAAGGAUAGCAGAUCAUCACAACCUGUUGACUCGAACUCGACGCUGGUUAGACAAGAAGCCCGGUUACUGAGCAAUGAGAAGUCACCACCUUUUUAUUUUUAUUUUAUGAGUAAACAGAUCAAGAACUUACGCACAGCAGUGUUCAGGUAAUCCAAAGAGAGACGAGUGCCUGAGAAGAGACAUUCAAGGGACUUCAAGGAAAGGAGUGUGGUGUGCAAAUAAAAAUAAAUAGAUGGAUGGAUCAUUUAAUGAAGUUUAUGAAGCACCAAGACAGUGGAAACCUUUGUGAGAAGCUGUGAGCUAUGUUCUCAAUGGAGUGCAGUACCAGAGCCCAAUCCAAGAUCAACAAAUAUGUUCAGACAACUAAAGGAUUGAUACGACUUAACAAUCCUUGCACGAGCUGGACAGAUUUAUGAAAGCAGAAAGUAAUUUAAAUAUCAUGCAGCAUAUAAUAGGCUUUGGUAUUCAGUAGACAUCGAAUUAAUCUUGUUAGUAUAAAAAUUGUAUUGUCAUUUCCUAGACUCUAGCAUAGGUUGGGAAUUAGUGUGUGAACAUGUUUUACUGGAAGCUUUGGCGCAACACAUUCAUUCUGGAUCUUUGAGGCAUGACUUGACCGAUAUGAGAAACUGAUUUCAGGUAACUCAUGACAUCAUCAUACAUUCAUUAUAGGAUUCCUAAUUGGAGUUAUUUUCACUCAAAGUAUUUUUAUCUUAAUCUUAUUUUUAAUAGGAUUAGAUUUUAUCUCUUAAUAUCACUUUCCUAGUUGAACUCUAUUUUGAUUUAGAUUAAGAAUAUUAUGUUUUCAUUAUCUUGGACUUGGAAAGUAUGUUUUAAUUAAUAUCCUAUUUGGUUCUGUGUUUACAUCUUGAUAUAUAUUGUUUCAUUGAAUAAACAAUUGAUUGGAGUGCAAUUGAGAAUAUGACGAAAUCAUGUAGGAUUCUAUGACCAUCAAAUUAAACGCAUGGCAAGAUAUUGAGUUAUGGUUGUGGGUCCUCUCGUGGAUUGUGGAGAAUAAGUUUUGUAUAAAUCAUUGUGUGCAUCUCUUAGGGUUUUGACAGCUUUUGAUAUUUGUGUUAAGCGUAUAGAAUUCUUAAGCAAAAGUUGAUGUGCAUAUAUUUGAGAUAAAUCAUCAAGUGUUCCAUGUUUACUUGGUGAUUUAUCAAACACUUUAAUAAUUCAUAUUGCAUUCAUAUGCAUGUCGGUGACUCAUACGGUUGAGGGCAACAAGACCGUGGUGGCGGUUUUCCUCCGGUGAGCUUGAAGCAAUCGUGGCCAGUAUUGCGUUCAACAUAAGGAGUGUCGAAGAUCAUCCCGUGACAGAAGUUGAGUUACGAAGAAGUCGGUAAACAUUAUCUAGAAUGAGUCUAGGAUAAGUGUGUGAGUACUUCUUGUAAUCAUCGUUCUAUAGUGGAUUUGAGUUGGACUGAGGAGUCCUGUGGAUUUUCCCCAGAGGUGGGGUUUUACCACGUAAAAUAAUUCUCUACGUGUUCUUUUAUUUUUAAGCUUUGCACAUCUCAGGAUUGAUAACUAAUAUCAAUCCUGCUUCAAAGGUUGAUCAUUAUUUAUUGCAAAAAAUUUGAAUUAGCUUGUUUAACAUUCUCUAGGCAUAUAUAGAUAUCCUACAGGUAUUAUCAAAUCUAGAGCACAGAUACCUAAUGACUGUCGAAGGGUUUCAAACCGUAGAUUGUCUAGAGGUUUGGUGAAAAUAUCAGCUAAUUGUUUUUCAGUAGAGACAAAUUCAAGCGAGAGCACAUUCUCUUCCACCAAUUCACGAAUAAAAUGAUGACUAAUAUCAAUGUGUUUUAUGCAAGAGUGUUGAACUGGAUUUUUAGAGAUAUUAAUUGCACUCAUGUUAUCACAAAACGUUACCAUUUUACCUUGAUGAAUGCCAUAGUCAUUUAGCAUUUGUUUCAUCCAUAACAACUGUGUGCAGCAGCUCCCAGUAGCUAUGUACUCGGCCUCAGCCGUGGAGAGAGAGACGCAAUUUUGCUUCUUGCUAAACCAGGAGACAAGGUUAUUGCCUAUGUAAAAGCAUCCACCAGUUGUGCUUUUCCUAUCAUCAAUGCUCCCUGCCCAAUCCGCAUCAGAAUAGCCUGCAAGUUCAACAUUUGAGUCAAAUGAGUAGUAUACACCAAAGGUUGUAGUGCCACUUACAUAGCGAAGAAUUCUUUUCACAGCAAGUAGAUGUGAUUCUUUGGGAUCGGAUUGGAAGCGAGCACAAAGUCCAAUACUGAAAGAGAUGUCUGGUCUAUUGGCAGUCAGAUAUAACAAACUACCAAUCAUGCUUCUGUAUAGGUUUUGAUCGACACUUUUGUCAGAUGAAUCCUUGGAAAGUUUGGUGCUUGUGCUCAUAGGAUUCCGAAUGGGUUUGGCAGAUUCCAGACCAAAUUUGGAGACUAGGUUUUUGGCAUACUUUGUUUGAGAUAUGAACAUGCCUCCAUUGAAUUGUUGGACCUGCAAGCCAAGGAAAAAAUUUAGUUCACCAAACAUGCUCAUCUCAAAUUCGGUUUGCAUUACCUCAUGAAAUUCUUUGACAAGUAUGUCAGAAGUAGAUCCAAAAACAAUAUCAUCCACAUAUACUUGAGCAACCAUUAAAUCCUGUUUGGUUCUUUUGACAAAGAGGGUUUUAUCAAUGCUACCACGUGUGUACUCUUUUUGAAGAAGGUGUGUGGACAGUCUAUCAUACCAUGCUCUCGGGGCUUGUUUGAGUCCAUAGAGAGUCUUUUUCAGACGAUAUACAUGAUUGGGAUGGAUAGGAUCUUGAAAACCUGCAGGUUGUUCCACAUGGAAUUCCUCUUGUAAAACUCCAUUUAGAAACGCACUCUUGACAUCCAUUUGAUAAAGCUUGAAACGAAGAUAGCAUGCAAUGGAUAGCAACAAUCGAACAGAUUCUAAACGCGCAACCGGAGAAAAGGUCUCAUCAAAAUCCAAACCUUCAAUUUGAGUAUAACCUUGGGCAACAAGUCUAGCUUUGUUGCGCAUGAUUUGCCCUUUCUCAUCUGUCUUAUUUCGAAAGAUCCACUUGGUACCAAUUACAUUUGUGUCUUUGGGACGUGGAACAAGAUACCACACAUCAUUUCUUUUGAAUUGAUUUAAUUCCUCUUGCAUAGCCAGAAUCCAGUCAUUAUCUGCAAGAGCAUCUGCAACACUCUUAGGUUCAAUAAAGGAUACAUGGCAGAAAUUGGUUACCUCAUUACAAACUUGUUGUCGAGUCCUCAUUUUAUCAUUAACAUUUCCAAUAAUAUCAGAGGGUGAGUGAUCUUUCUGAACUUGUUUAGCACCAGGUCUGCGUAUCACAGGAUUGAAAUGCUGGUUACAAUCCUCAAAAUCAAUUCCAGUACCAUCUACAGGUUCGUGAGUUUCUAGAUCUGUAUCUUCACUGCUUGGUUCAACCUGCAAUAUAAAAGUGUCAUUUACAACCACAUUAGCUGAUUCCAUUAUUAUUUUAGUGCGUCUAUUAAACACCCUAUAUGCUCGACUAUUCAUAGAAUAUCCAAGAAAUAUUCCAACAUCACUUCUUGCAUCAAAUUUUCCAAGAUACUCCCUGUCUUUGUAAAUGUAGCAUUUACUACCAAAAGUCCUUAAGUGCUUGACAUUUGGUUUCUUCCCUUUCUAGAUUUCAUAUGGAGUGCUCUUGGUAUGUGGCCUGAAAAACACACGGUUAGAUGUAUAGCAUGCAAUACUAAUGGCUUCAGCCCAAAAAUGAUCUGUCAAAUUGGCACUUUUCAACAAGACACGAGCCAUAUCAAGAAGGACUCUAUUUUUCCUUUCAACUACCCCAUUUUGUUGGGGAGUGAUUGGAGCAGAGAAUUCAUGUUUUAUUCCUUUUUCAGAACAAAAUUUAGAAAAAGCUUGAUUUUCAAAUUCCGUUCCAUGGUCUGUCCUAAGUCUCAUGAUACAAGAGUUACUUUCAUAUUUUUCAUUCAUGAUUAGCUUGUACAAAACAUAGAAGGAAUUAAAAGCUUCUGUCUUAACAUGCAAAAAACUGACCCAAGUAAAACGUGAGAAAUCAUCUACUAAGACAAGGAUAUAUUUCUUUCCUCCUAAGCUAGCAACCUGUAUUGGACCAACUAAAUCCAUAUGCAUCAGUUCCAAAGUUUUAGAAGUAGAGAUUGAGUUUGUAGCUUUGUGAGGGUUUUUGGUUUGCUUCCCCAGUUGGCACCCUUCACAGACACCCUCACGUUUACCUGAAAGAUUGGGCAAUCCUCUUACAGAUUCACAGUUGGACAAUUUAACUAAAUCUUGAUAAUUCAUGUGUCCCAAACGUUGAUGCCAUAAAUCAAGAUGAUCUUUACUUGUCCUAAAACACACUUGAGAAACUUCAUUAGUGGAAAAACAAUAACAAUUGUCAGGUGAUCUAUUUCCAGUCAUCACAUUUGAUCCAUCUUGAUUAUUGACAAUACAUCGGGUUUUAGUAAAACUUACCUUACCCAUUUCAUCACAAAGUUGACUUACGCUGAUGAGAUUUGCUUGAAGAUUUUCAACUAAUAAAACAUUGUCCAAGUUAGGUGUACCAAUUGCCAUAAUCCUUCCUUUGCCCAAAAUCUUGGAUUUUCUUCCAUCUCCAAAAGUGACCAUUCCACUCACACCUUCUGUAGAGAUUUCUGAAAAAUAUGAUUUCUCACCGGUCAUGUGUCUUGAACAUCCACUAUCAAAAUACCAAGAUUUAGAUUUAGAGUCAGACAGAGCAGUAAAAGCAACAAAACAUUUCACAUCUAAUAUUUCAGGAACAUUAGUUUGAUGUGUAUCGUUUGAAAUUGCCACCAAGCAGUUUUGAUUAUCCUUUCUCCUCCACACUAGAUUUGAAGUUGGUAAAGAUAAGGAACGAGAAAGUUUUGACAACCUACUUACCUCUUUUACAAGAUAAGCAAUCUUGUGCUGAAUUCUUACCUGUCCCUCCUUGGUGGGUUUUUGACUUACUGAAAUCUGUUGAAGCAGUUUGCAUUUUGGUCGGAUGUGUCCAAGAGUUCCACAAUAGUGACACGUAGGUAUGAAUCUCCAAGGUGUUUGAGAGGUUGAACUACCAGUAGAAAGUGAUGGUUUGACAAACUUUGUGACGGAUACAGCGGAAGGCUUGUUUACUGAAUCAAAACCUAAGCCACGUUUGUCUCCAUCUCUUCGACCCAUGCUCAUCAUUUUGUCAAUCUUUUCUGCACCAAUUGUCAAAGCAAUAAUCCUUUCCUUUGAACUUUUAAGCUCAAUUUCAAGAACUUUUUGUUAGAGGUCAAAGAAUCAAUCAAUUUAUUUUGAUCAAUGCAUUUUUUUUGUAGUAUUUUCAAUUUUUCAUACAUACCUUCACCAAGUGAUUCUAGUUCAGCAGCAGAGGAUUGUAAUGUCCUGGCAAUCCUACUGUUUUCGAGCUCCAGCACAGCAAUCUUUUUGGCAAGCUCUUUGUUCUGUUGAUUAAGUUUCUGAGAGGCAGCUAGAAGAUCGUCAUACUUUUCCAGCACAUAACCAAUAUUUGGUUCUUCAUCAUUCCCAUUGUUUUGCUGUGCCUUAUCCAAACUGACAGUGGUGAUUAAUGCAAUGGUAUUUUCUUCACUUUCUGAUUCUAAAUCACUAUCACUCCAGGUUAUAUUCAGUGCUUUGGCUUUGCCAUUUUGCUUCUUUUGUGUGUUGGCACAUUCAGAGGAUAUAUGUCCAUAUCCUUCGCAUUCAUAGCACUUGACUCUCUCUUUAGUGGUUUUCUUCUCAGUGAACCUGCGAGAUUUUACAUUACCAUCAGCAUAAUCACCAUGUUUAACUUUUGAAUUUAUACCUGAGUGAUUUCUUAAAUCAUAACUUCUGGAAUUUUGAUAUUUGAAAAACUUCUUGAAUUGUCGUGAGAGAUAAGCAAAUUCCUCCCUAUUGAAUUCUUCAGAUUGGUGUUCACCAUCUUCUUUAUCAACUACUUUAAGAGCAACGCUUUUAUUCUUCUUAGGAGCUAGAUGCUUCAUCUCAUAGGUUUGAAGCGACCCUAUGAGUUCACGAACUUUCAUAGUAUUCAGGUCACGAAUCUCUUCAAUGGCUGUGAUCUUUGGUGAAAAAAGUUGAGGCAAGGACCUUAAAAUCUUUUUCACCACCCUAUCUUCUGGAAUUUUUUCACCUAAACUUGAACAUGCAUUCACAAUAACGCAAAGUUUGGCAUAAAAUUCAGAAAAGGUUUCAUUCUCAUCCAUCAUGAUUGUCUCAAACUGUAGAGUGUGCAUUUGAAGCUUGGCUCCCUUAACAGUAUCUGUUCCUUCAUGGGUGACCUGCAAAAUAUCCCAAGCUUCCUUAGAAGUAUCGCAACUAGAUAUAUAUUCAAAUUGAUCGGAAGAGACAACAGCAAAUAUAGCAUUUAACCCCUUUUGAUUAUUGGUACUGUGUGUGGCUUCUGCAGUGGUCCACUCCUCUCUAGAUUUGAGAACUGUGGUUUCUUCAUCUCCUUUUUCGAUCUUCUUUGUGGGAUCAGAAAAUCCAUGAAACACUGUAUACCAUACACGUUCAUCUAAGGACCAAUGAAAGGACUUCAUUUUAGCCUUCCAAGCACCAUAGUUGUGGCCAUCGAAGUAUGGUGGGUGUGCAACAGAACCAGCGGCACGAUCCAUCCUAAGGUAUGUUAGAUCUAGCUGAGUAUGUCCAGCAACCUGCUCUGAUGCCAAUUGAGAAUACCUGUAGGAUAUCUAUAAAUGCCUGGAGAAGGUUAAACAGGCUAAUUCGAAUUUUUGCAAUAAAUAAUGAUCAACCUUUGAAGCAGGAUUGAUAUGAGUUAUCAAUCCUGAGAUGUGCAAAGCUUAAAAUAAAAGAACACGCAGAUAUUUAUUUUACGUGGUAAAACCCCACCUCUGGGGAAAAUCCACGGGACUCCUUAGUCCAGAACGAAUCCACUAUAGAAUUGAGAUUACAAGAAAUACGCACACACACUUGUCCUAGACUCAAUCUAGACAAUGUUUACCGAUUUCUUCGUAACUCAGCUUCUGUCACGGGAUGAUCUUUGACACUCCUUUUGUUGAAUGCAAUACUGGUCACGAUUGCUUCAAGCUCACCGGAGGAUAAACACACAAAGUGUCUUGGUGUCCUUAACCAUAUGAGACACCGACAUGCAUAUGUAUGCAAUAUGAAUGAUGAAUGAAUUCGAUCAAUCACCAAGCAACCAAAGCACUUGAUGACUUUCCGAAUAAACUAAGUGCAUCAGCUUUUCCCAAAAUAUAUUCAAUAUGCAUCAAUGGUUUUGGACGUUGGAAAAGCUCACACUUACAAGAAGGCAAAGCCUCCUUUUAUUCACAGCAAGUUUCUCACAGGAGAGAAACUUGCGAGACUGCACUUCCAAAACAAUUAUAACUCUAAGACCAAUUGAACUAAAACUCUUUGAACCUGGUGCAAUAUGAUCUCCUCAAUGAGACACCACACAAGGGCCAAACACUUAUCAAAUUAACAAUAUAAAUUCUGAUUCAAUAAAAAUACAAAGUCUAAUUCAUUAAGGACUCUUAAUGAUGUCACCAACCGACUCAAAUUUUAACUUCAAUUACAAAGACCCAAAACAAAACUUCAACUAUAACUCCUAUCAUGAAUGCAUGAUAUGUCAUGAUUUACCUGUUGUCAAGUUUCUCAUAUGGUCAGGGUAUGCCUCGGAGGUAUGGGAUUGAAAGAGUAGUGCCAAAACUUCUAGUAGCAAUUCCUCACAAACUAAUUUUCAUCCUAUACUACAGUCUAGGAAAUGCCAAUACGAUUUUCGUACUAACACUCUUCAAACAACACCAAGCCUCUACAAGUUUUGGCUAAGGUAAGAACACCCUUAAGGCCAUGGCAAGCAUUGGCCAUUAUACUAAAUUUGGGUUUGAGGACCAUUACCAAGCACCAACAACAGCAGCCCAACCCAAAUUUAAAAAUCUCACCUUAAAGUUGCAAACUUUAAUAUGAGAAAUAAACAAAAUGAUUUUGAUGGAUUUUGAUUUUGAUUUUGAUUUUUUUUUUUUUUUUGUGGGAGAUGUCAUGUUGUUUCGGGUGUGAAGGACUGGCUCUCUCAAAAUGAUAAGAGGGAGGGUUGGAUUUGGGGCUGCAAGUCUGUGAUUAUUCGAAGAGAGAAAAAGUUAUAAAAAAAAAAUAAUAUGUUGAAUGGAGUGAAGUAAACAUUAAAGUCAAUAUAUCAAAUAAGGGUAAAUAUGGAAAACAAAAAGUAGGUUGUUCGAUAUAUUAAUGACAUUGUUUUAAAUGUAAAAUAACAUAUGUCAUAAAAAAAAAGAAAAAAUAUCGAGAGAAGGUUGCUAGCAUUACCUAUAAAAAAAAAUGGGAAAUAGCUUAAAAUGCCACCUUUUUUAUAAUUUUAACUGAAAAUACUACCCCUUCCCAAUUUUUUUUAUAACUACCACAUAUAAAUACAUCUUUAUUGUGAAAUGAUUGUACCCAUAUCAGUUUUUCAGAAAUUGGGUUCUCUCUCAACUCUCUUGGCUCUAUCUCUCUCUUCGGCCUUUCUCUCUCCCUUGUGUAACUCUCUCUCUCUCUCCGACGCAAUCGUCUUUCUCCCUCAGCGGUGGCUAUUCAUCCAAGCUUAACUCCACGGUUCACAUCCACGAUGUAUUGUUCAUCUUCCUUUUCUUUGAAAUUUGGGGUUUUUGUGAAUUUGGUUUAUGGUGUAUGGAUUUGUAAGAAAUUGAUUUAAGGGUUUCUUCGAAAUUGGUUUUGGGUUUUAGGGUUUAGGGGUUGCUCAGAAACUGGUUUAGGGUUUAUGGGUUUCUUUGAAAUUGGUUUAGGGGUUUCUCUAGGGUUGAGGGUUUAUGGGUUUCCAUGAACUGGGUAAUAACUCACACCCACUCUCACUCGCUCGCAGACACUCUUCACAAAAAUCGAACUCUUCAUUUUGUCACAGAACAUUUGGGCUUUGUUCACCUUUGUCUGGGUAAGUCCCAACUAUAUAUAUUUUUUGAUGAGAUUUUAAGCUCUGGGCUCUGUGAUUUCUACAAGAAUUAAUUCCACAAUAUUCUUAUUUAACUAUUCAAAUCAAAGCAAAGGAAGGAACGUUGUUUAUGGAUGGGUAAUUGUCAAAAACGACUUCUGGAAUCUACAUGUUUAUAAUCAAAUUCUGCAUAUGGAUUUAUGGGAUGGUUUCGGGUUCCCUGUAAUCUUUUGACAAUGUUUUGUUUAUGGCAUUUUUAAAUGGGCUUGAUUUUUGGUUUGGUAGAAUGCAUUUGAUUGUGGUUUGGGUGAUACAGUGGUGGAGAUGCAGAUGGAGGUGUGGGUACUUUGUCUCUGUUAAAAGGAAAUUGCAGGUUUAUGGUUUGGUUUAAACAAUUGUGUGACUGUGUGUUCGCUUUAGAUGUCCGUAUCGUGAUGCAAAGGAGACUGUGUUUCUAGGUUUAAAUUCAGUGUUUCUAUGUACAUAAUUGGGUGAUUUCUUAAUAUUUCUAUUAGGUUAUUUCAGUUUGUUUUCUGUUUGAUUUGGAGAGCUGCACUUGGCAUAAUUGUUUUCUUUAAACUUGGUUGAUUUAGGUUUGGCCAGAAGGUGCUGGCAAUGGCUACAGCGACAUAUCCACCACCACCACCGUAUUAUAAUCUCUACAAAGAUUACUUGCAAGAUCCCAAAUUAGCUCCGGAGCCGCCCCCUCCGAUUUAAGGGACAUGCAUUUGUUAUGGUGGCAAUUACACUAUGAGCUUUUCUCAUUCUUUGCAUUCUUCCUGUCAAAAUUUAUAUAAACUGUGUAAUUUGAUUUCUGAAAAUUGCUUUUGUCACUAAUGACUAGAUGCUAGAAGUUUUUGUGAAAAGUAAAGUUUGUUGAAUUUACAGUUUGAAGAAUGCCAUCUCUCCUUUAUAGCAGUUGCUUUAGCUAGGAAUGUCAUAUAUGUACCUUUAAAGUUGUUGGCUUUGAAUGUUGAGUUUGGAAAAUAUGUGUAAUUCUAUAAUCUACUGUGUUGAUGUUAUCAAUGUAUGAUUUCUUUGUUUUCCUUGUAAUCUCUUCUUAAUUAGUUUUAUCUUAUUUUAUAUAGACUGAAGACAUUCUUCCGAGCUUGGAAGAUCAGGGAGUGCGUCAAUUGUAUCCAAAAGGCCCAAACAUUAGUAUGCCUCCCUCCGUUCUAGUUUUAAUUAUUUGUAUUGUCAUGUGAAAUUACUGCUCUUGAAAUUUAGGAAUUAAUGUGAACUUUUUCUUGCUUCAAGCAUUGUUGCAAUCAUCAUUUAUUGCAGUUUCUUCUUAGCAUUGGUUGAAUUAUCUUAUUAUUAUUUAUCAUUUUUAUAAACUAGUUAACUAUAAUUUUCUUUGGAAAGAUGUUAGCAAAAGAGAGAUUUUCUUUGCUAAGUUAGAACACGGUUACUAGACUGAGAAAUGUUCUCUUGGUUACAGUUAUCUACAACUUUCUUGGUUACAGUUACUCCACAUUUCUGAUUGAUUGCCAUAGUUUUCUAGGCUAUGGCAUAUAUCCAAUCCAUACUAAAAAAUGUUGUCAUGCAUGAUAAAUCCGACAUUACGACUAAAAUAUGAUCCCUUAAUGAGCCUUCUUUAGUGCAAUACAAAUGUCCUCUCUAGAAAGAAGAAGAGUGAUAGGGGGUAUGUAUCAUCUGGUUUGCAGAGCAUGAUUUUAUUGAUAAUAACUAACAAGAAACAAAUAAGAACUGCCUGUGCACAUGCGUGUAUGCCUGUUUAUUCUAGUGUCUUCUUUACAUAUAUAUAUAUAUUUUUUGUGCAUAUGCAUGUGUUUGUUUUUCGCCUCUAAAAUGUUUUAUGCUUCUCUGACAAAAAUUGUGAUCCUUCUUAGAUUUUAAGAAGGAACUGAGGUCACUUAACAGAGAAUUGCAGCUGCACAUUUUGGAGCUGGCUGAUAUUCUUGUAGAGAGACCAUCACAGUACGCGAGGAGAGUGGAAGAUAUAUCUCUUAUCUUCAAGAACUUGCAUCAUCUUCUCAACUCAUUGCGUCCCCAUCAAGUAAGAUAGUUUUGGGUCUUAGAAUGCAUUGUAUUGGUUUGUGUUUUGAGGUACUUUAUUUUGUAAUGUAUUUUAUCAAACAGGCUAGGGCAACAUUAAUUCACAUUCUAGAACUUUAGAUACAACGUCGUAAACUAGCUGUGGAGGAUAUAAAGAGGUAUGCUUUCAACAAUUACUGGAAAUAUUUGUGGUCUGAGGCUGAAAUGUUUUUCUUUGUUUUCCAAAACAGUUGAAAGAAAAUUUCUUUGUCCUUCGUUCAUUUAAAUGAAUGACUUAUAUAGCAUUUUAUUUAGAGUAAAAGUACUUGAAUCUACUAGGCUAUUCUUUUGGUGCAUUGUAGAAGUUGUUGUAGAAAACUCCCCUGUUCUUGUAUGUGAGGCAUCGAAAUGUUGAUUUUUAGUUUCUUUCAACCUUGAAUUAUGAGGUUAAAAGUAAACUGCGGUGUGUGCAUGGUCAGUGUAAGAGUUUGAAGAUGCAUAUAAAUUCCUUAAAUCUACUGGUACUGUGACUGUGUAAUCAAUCUGCCAUGUGGAUUGGAUGUUACAUAAUUGCUUGUGACUAUUUGCUUCACUUUCUUGUUUAGGAGGAGAGAAGAAGCACGGAGACUUCUCAAGGAGUCUAUUGGAACGUUGGAGGACACCGACGCAUCUUUUGUGCUAAAGUAAGGGCGUAUGCUCAUGUUCGUUCUGCCGCCGAUUGAAGCCUCUUGGACAGUUGCAUCUCAAUACCUUCAUCAUGCUUCAUGUAUUAGAAAAAUUAUAGGUUUAAUUGUCAUUGUAAUCAGAGUAAAAGCAAUUUGAUAGCGUGCAUGAUAGUGUUCUCUCUUGCUCUGCUGCUAUGAAAUUCUUAUUUACCGAUUGGCAAAGAAGAAAACAUAGUUUCGACAAAGUCAAUAGAUCAUUACAAGAACCUUAGAAUACACUAGCGGAACUAGGACAAAGGCUACAGUGGGCUGUAGCCUAGGGAGGUUUUGGGGUUAAACAAAAAUCAAACCUAUAUAUUUGCCUCAUUUGAAAUGCAGAGCAAUAGGCUCUUUAAACACACAAUUUUUCAAAGCAAAAUGUGCGUUUAGAUAUAAAAAAAUGCUCUUUUGAAUACAAUAGUAGGGUAAUAUGCUCUUUGAACACAAUGAUAUAAUAAUAGGCUCUUGAUAAGUGUUGAGUUUGUUUUGUUUUAUUUUGUUUUUUAAAUAUGUGAGCUUAAUUAUGAAUUUGAAUGCAAUAAUUUUGAAUAAUUGAUUUAUAAUAGAAAAACAACAUGCAUACAUUCUGAACAACGACUCUUUGAUCAUAGGAUAUUGGUAUUGCUAGCAGCUAGUUAUUAGUAUUUGUGUUCAAGAAGACCCCAUUGUGAGCACAACUUUGACAGAGUGGUUAUAUAGAUAAGAGGUGCUAAGAAAUUAGAUAUUUUGAUUUGUUCAAUUACAUUGCACCAUCUUAUUAUAGUUACAGCUAACCUUAACUGGCUUAUUGAACAAUUGUAACUGAUAAAAGAGUUAUAACCCGCACUAUUUAUUUGGAUAUGACAAUUUUCUAACUGGCUUUGAGCCGUUGAAUUAGUAGGUCAGUUGUAAAUAGCUGGGGUUUUGUUUAUGCUCUGUAUUUUUUGUUUAUUUUUCGCUUAAUAUCCUAUAAUAGGUUGUUGAUAAGUGUUGAUUGUUUAUUGCUUUUUAUUGUCUAGAUUGCAACGAACUCAAAUUAUUUUUAUAAUAUUGGCGUGCAUGGAAAUAUGGUUUCUCCAAUUAAGUUGAUGAUUACAGAGGAAGAAAAGUUCCAGGAAAAAGCAUUGUCCCUAUAUACUUCAGACAAGUUCCUACAUAUGACUGAACCUUCCUACCAUUUCUGCAGCAUAGGCACCUUCUUAACGGGAAAUGUAACACCCCGACCCCAAAUUUCCCCAAAUUUUACCCUCAUUUAAUUAUUUAAUUAUUUAAGGGUAUUUUAGUCAUAUUUUUAACCGGAGAGAGUUUGGGACCGUGACUUAUAUUUUUAGAUAGGUCGUACUGAGACGAGUUCAUAGACACGUAGUGGGCUCGAAUCGGAGUUGUAACGAGAGAGAUAUGGUCAAAAGAAGUCCAGUGGCACAAUCGUAAAUAUUUCGAAAUGGGAUUUUUUUAUAAAAAACCUGGUUUUCUCUCUCUCUCUCUCUCUCUCCCCCCCCCGCGGGUCUCUCUCUCUCCUCUCCCUCGCGCGCGACAGCCGGCCACGUUUUGGCCGGCCGUGCUCUCCUCCGGCCACCAAUGGCGACGGGACCGGUACCAAAAUGACCGGGCCGUCGUCCUCUUCCUACCCCAGCCAUCCCCCGCCUCCAGCCGCCGUGGUUUCGCCGGAAUUUGGAGAAGAAGCGGCCGACGUCGCCGAAUUUUCAAAGCCGUCGAUCUCCCUCCUCCGGCCACCAAUUUCGUCGAUCCAGGUAUGGAUUUUGAACCUCUCAAGCUGCUCUAGCUGAUGGUUGGGUAGGAUUAGAUCGAUUCUUAGCGUAGAUCACUCGAUUUUCGAAUUGAAAAUCGGCCGAAACUUCGGCCGCCGUGAUCGGCCACUUCCGGCCAGUUUUUGGGGUAGGUCCAAGAACAAAAGUGACUCCAAAUGAGGUGUUUUACCUAGGAUAGGAGUUUGGAGUCUUGGUUCCGAGAUUUUUCGACGAACCAUAAUCGCUUUGGACACCCGAUCUGCCCGCGCGUGUGGCAGCGCGUGGGCGAGGGUGGUGGAGUGACUCUGGGCCGUUUUGAGAUCCUCGUGCCGUCACGAGCGCGUAGGAUUUCGCGGAUCUCAAUUCGGACGUCGUUUGACUAUCGAACGGAGAAUCGCAUAUUGCGCGUUAUCCGGGUUCGAUAGGUUGGGACCGUUGGAUGGUCCCGAAUUUAAUAUAUAUGAAUCUAGGAAUUUCUAUGAUCGUGUAGGAAUUCACGGAUUUUGAAUCGGAGCCCCGGAUGUUCCGAAUAAUAAUUUAAAGUUUAUAUUUUAUAUUAACUGUCAGAUCGUGCGAUCGUGAGAAAUCCGACCGUCCGAUCUGAACCAAACUUGCAGGACAAGUGUCCUAUACCUGGUAGAACCCAUAGAGACUUUCAGAUCAGAAAUUGGAGGUCGUGGGUUCUGCAGGUCCGGUUGACCAGGGUUAGAAUAGUUUGACCCUCGGUUGACCGAGAGUCUCCCGGAGUAAUCUCACCCUUCCAGGGGGAAUUAUCGGGAGCUAGACUAUUGUGGAGGGUUACACAAUAUUAGAAUUAUUUAUAUAAAUUAUGUGGUUGUACAAGGGUACAACAAAGUCUAGAUUGUCAGUUUGGAGUGCUAUACGCACUACUUUAGGUACCUCCUCGGAUGUUGGAUCCACUACAAGUACCACCAAGUGAAAGUAGGUCCCACGUGGCGUAGGUUAUCCGGCGUUGGGACAGACCCCAUACGUGGCGUUGGUUGUACCGGCGUAUGGGGAGCUAUGUAAUAUUAUGUUGAGGUCGCACGUGGCGUAGGUUAUCCGGCGUGUCGACAGACCCCAUACGUGGCGUUGGUUGUACCGGCGUAUGGGGAACUUUGCGAUAUAAUAUUGAGGUCCCACGUGGCGUAGGUUAUCCGGCGUUGGGACAGGCCUCAUACGUGGCGUUGGUUGUACCGGCGUAUGGGGAGUUAUGUGAUAUGAUGUGCAGGUCUCACGUGGCGUAGGUUAUCCGGCGUUGAGACAGACCCCAUACGUGGCGUUGGUUGUACCGGCGUAUGGGGAGAUUAUAUGAAAUGAAAUAAGGUAUCGCCCAAGUGGGGAAUUGAGUUUUAGGGAAGAACUACGUGUGGCUUGAUCCCUCAAGGAGGGUACGUAGGCAGCCUAAGGUUAGGUGCAGCCGCAGACUAAAUGUUAGUCAUUUUUGGUAUUGGAAUGGUUUGGUAGUUGGAUAGGAAUUAUUGAAAGGCCGAAGGCCAUUUGUGUGAAUUGCAUGAAAUUAUAUUGUGCAUGCUGCCAGUUGGGAAUAUUAAAUGUGUUUUUAUGCAGGUUGAAAUUUUGGGAAAUGUCCAAUCUAUAGGGGAGACUCUGCCGAAAUUUCGGCAGGAAGUCUCAGUUUUUAGUAAGCGGGCCUGACAUCGGGGUGAUGUCAGGAAUUCCAAAGGGUUCGUCUCGGGUUUUUGAGAAAAUUCGGGGCGGGUCCUUAAAGGAAAGGUAAUUAUUCUUCAUGUUAUUGUUGUUUAAAAGUGUUGAAAACGUCAAACUGGAUACUAAAUGUACCUUUAUUUGUUUUUAUGUAGUCUGCAGUUCUGAAUUGUCCCCACUGAUACUUAAAGAUGUCGGAUGUACCCCCUCCAAACGAGCAUGUCAGUUACCCGGGAGACCAGCUGUGGCAUGUGCUGUUCCCAUCUCCACCUCUGACUCCCAAUCAUGAUCCCACUUCAUCUGGAAGUGAGGCUGAGAGCAAUGAUCCACUUAACAAAAUCUCUGCCAUCAAGCACGACCUCCGAUAUUUGUCUAAGGCAACAGAUUGGUGGGAGAGCAAAUGUGAUAUUCAUGGCCAAGUUAUGGGAAACUUGGCCAACAAGUUGAACAAAGCAUUGCUGGAGAAGUGAAGCAAACUCUAAAAGCAAUAAGUCAGAGCAAAGAGUUAGAGUCCCUCAAGUUAAAAUUGGAAAAGACAAAGAAAUAUGUUGUCGAAAAAUUCACAAAAUCUGAAGAAUAUAACCAUGACAUGGUUGAAUGUUUCAACAACGGCUUCGAAAUAUUCCAAGAUUAUGCUUCGGUCAUCGCACCAGACUACAAUUGGAGUGAAAUUGAUGAAGAUGGUGUCUGGCAGGUGCUGAAUAUAGGUGGAGAGGGAAUGGCUCAUCAUAGCCUCGUGCAUGCAGCGAGGAGGAAGGGCAAAGACAUAGAUCUUUUGACGGACCUCUAGUAAGGGUGAGUGCUGAUUCAGUUCAUGCGAUGCUGGGUGAUGCGAUGUCAAAGUGUUGCCUUCCUUUUCCCUUCGCGGGAUAGUAUUGUUAGGGUUUGGUGGCGAUUUAUUUUGCAUGUUUAAAUUGUAGUCUGUAAUGGAUGUGUGUGUAUUGUAUGUAGAUUGACUUAAUUUGCUCUCAUAUUGCAUGUGUAUUGUACUACUAUUGCCUUUGUAUUGCAUAGAUAUUGUAUGCAUAUUGCCACCCUAGUGCAUGUAUAUUGUGCUACUAUUGUUGUUGUAUUGCUGUUAUAUAACUCUAAUAUUGCCUCUCUAGUGCAUGUAUGUUGGCCACAUAUUGCCAUUAUAUUGUAUGUAUAUUGAGUACGGCUUAUCAAUGGGUUUACGGUUUAGGUCCUACUUCAUUCAAAAAGAAGACGAUGACGAGAACGAAACAACGUGCCUUUCAAAAACAGGCAAUUAGAUGCAUAAUAAUUGCACCGUAAGACAUUGUAAGAAAUUAUUUUUAAAAAUAAUAACUAAAAAUAAUGUACACAAAAAGGAAGGUAUGAAUAAAUAUGCAAAUGCUUCGUGAUGGGUUGAAGAAAAGGAUGAUUACAUUUGGUGGUUUGAUUAUGUUUGGUGAUACGAUAUGUUCUUCAUCUUAAUCUUCUUCAUAUAUGUACUUGUUGUAUUACUAAUUCACACAAAUUCAUCUCGUAAUCAUCCAACUAUUAAAGCUAAGUAAAUGAAAUGAAACAAAAGAAGAAGCCCAAAAUAAACAGAAACAGCAAUUUCUAGCACCCUUUUAUCGCCUCUCUAUUACUACUGUAUCACCAACCUAUCACCAGUUUAUUGCGUUUUAGGCAUAAACAAAUUAUGCACUUCCUCUGUUUUUCAUUUUUGACAUAUGUCCAUUGUUUGACCUCCAUUUUCCUGUAAGGAAAACAAAGAACACAUGAAUUUAAUUUGCAAUGAUAGCUUUCCAAUAAACCUUUUGACAAAAAAAAGUAAACAGCAGAGCUUCUCCGAGCAAGCGAAGGCAGGAUUGGGUUGAUGACCAUUAGUUCAAACAUUAUGUGAUCUAAUAGGGAUAACUAAUUUUGGGAACAAGUAAUGAAUCUUCAAAACGAUAAAGAACAACUAGUAAACUAAUUUAUACAUUUUAACUUUGCACGGGUCACAGCGCUGAACAUGAUAUUUGGUAACCAUCUCUAUACUUAGGGGUUACAGUGCUCAACAUGAUAUUUGGUAACCAUCUCUAUACUUUACAGUUAUGAAAUUGACAUGUACAUUUCUUUUCCAAAAACCAAAGGUUUUUAAAAAUUCCACAAAGUUUAUGUAUAAUACUUGACUGUAUGCAAACUCAAAGAAUUCGAUUAAUGUAUGAAUAACAAAUAAUUCUUCAUAUAUGCAAAAGUCAACCACAUGACUCGAAAUUAGAAAUUCUCACCGCACACAAAUCCACCAUUACUACAUACAAAUAAACAUCCACAAUUCCAUAAGGCAAAAGGCAAGUUCUAAGGGAUACACAAGGAAAGAAAGAAAAAAAAUAUUUCCAAGAACAGCCAAUGAGAAAUAAUGUUACAGACCAAAAGCAAACAAGGCAAAGUUAAACCACCCUUCUUAAGACAAAAAGCACCAGACAAUUUCUAUUUAUUGAAUCAGCUCACAAAAAAUGGUCGAUGUGUAUCACUUCAGGUCUCUCUUUGUCUAGAUCAAUUCAUUAAUUUGCCAUUGCACUUCUGAUAUCUAGGAAAAUCCAUUGGCUCAAAAGACACCAUCAGCUUCAACUCUGAAAUUAUGCAUGGUUCACUACACAAGUUGUUUUGACCUCCAAACAUGGAAAAAUUUCUCAAGCCUGCAAGUACGCAUAUAACAUCUCAAGAAUGGAAUGAUAAACAAACUUUGCGAAAAAUAAAAUAAAAUACUACAUGUAAAAAAAAAAAACAAAAAGAUAAUUAAACUGAACACAAUAACUUACAGCAACAUUUAGUAAUCUAAUUCAUGGAUACAAAGAAAACAUUGACUUGAUUUGCUUUCUCUUAUGAGCUUUAGUAUUAUUAAACUGCAGCAUCCUAUCAAGUGCAUACAAGAAUCGGAAGAUAUUUUCUGAAACCCUAUAUUUUUAGAAUAAAUAAAGAGAAAACAACAUCAGCAAAAUUGUUAAAACAUUAGUCAAAUUGUUGAGAAUAUAAAAUCUCACAUCCACUAUUCUAAGCCUUGCAUUUCAAUAUAUAAAAUUAUGAACCUCUUCAGCCAUUAUCACCAUAGUACUAGACUUCACUGACAAAUAAUACAUAACAAAUGGAUAUCGCAACAAGUGGAUGUCUCAUCAAAUAGACUUUGUAGCUAAAGGAAUAAUUUAUUACAUGAUACAUAUGCAAUAAACAAAGGAGCUGGAAAUUAAAUGAAACCAGGAUGGGCAAAUCUAUUUCUUCAAUCACAGAAGCAUUUAAUGGGUAAAUUGAACAAACAACAUAUAGGUUCAUGGGCUGAGGUAGAAUUUCUUCAUUCAUCGUUAGCCACCUUAGUCCUUAAGAAGAAGAAAUACAUUAAUCCCUAACCCUCCUCUUCCUCAAAUUUCUUUCCUUCCAUGCCUUGAAUUCUAUCCCUAUUCAUGCACCCAUGACAUGAUCAGUCAAAGAGCAGUAUCAACAAGCUACAAAAACAAGUCUCCUCAUUACCCAUUCGAACCAUGCUCAAAUGACACCCAAAAACAGAGUGAUGUUAAAACAAUUCCUUCUGAGCCACAAAACAUGACGAAGAAGUAACCAGGCUAGAUCACGGGCAAAAAGUACUUCAUAAUGAGAGCAGCAGAGUCACUGCUCUGUCGAAGAACUCUGUACUAGAAAACCAUCAUAUGAUGACAGUCAAAGUGAGGAUUUGCAAGGUUUGUCAUGUCAUGCAAUAAUACCAGUCCAUCGAACACAUCUACCUAGUGAAUAAAAAAAAAAUACAUUCCAACCUUAAAUAUGAAUGGAAUUGAUUUCGUUUAGAUUUGAAACUCUGCACCAUCUUACAAAGUAAACAACCUAUAUUUUCACAUAAGAGGACUAGUAAACAUCUAACAAAAUUUAAGACCCUGUUGCACCACAUAUGCACUUGUUUAUUUGAAUUGAACCUAGAAAGAAACCUCACCCAUAAUUUUUUAGCAACACCUAUAAUACCCAAUUAACACACAAAUCAAUACCACAAAUCAAUCUGUCGAAGAAAAUCAUGAAGAAAGUGCACACACAGCCCAAUUGUAUAGUGCCAUCUGCUCUGCACUCCUUUUCAUCAAUUCAUGAUUUUGUGCAACGAAAUGCAAAGAAGUAAGAACCCCUUGAACAUCAUCCAUGGCUCGCAUUUGAAGUUUUUUAUUCCAUUUGAAAUACCCAUUUAUUUACUUUAACACUAACCAAAAUCAUAGAUAUGAAACCAAUCUCAAAACCAUAUCAGAUGACCCAAAACAAAAACCCAUCACCCAAUCCUUAGCUAGCAGGAAUAAAAUACCAAUUUAUUUACUUUAAUACUAACCAAAAUCAUAGAUAUGAAACCAAUCUCAAAACCAUAUCAAAUGACCCAAAAUAAAAACUCAUCACCCAAUCCUUACCUAAAAUCACAAUCACAAUAAAGAAAAACAAAUUAGGGUAAUCUGAAGCCUAGAUUAGAUAUCUCAUCAAUUCCAAACCCUAGACUCUAGAGAAACUCCUAAACCAAUUUCAUACCAACCCAUAAACCAUAAACCAAUUUCAGAGCAACCUCUAAACCCUAAAACCCUAAACCAAUUUGGAAGAAACCCCUAAACCAAUUUCAUACAAAUCCAUACACCAUAAAACAAAUUCACAAAAACCCCAAAUUUCUAAGAAAAGGAAGAUGAACAGUACCUCGUGGAUGUGAACCGUGGAGUUAAUCUUGGAUGGCUGAGGGAGAAAGAUGAUUGCGUCGGAGAGAGAGAGAGAGAGAGUUACACGACAGAGAGAGCUGAGCGACAGAGAGAGACGGGCUGAAGAGAGAGACAGAGCCAAGAGAGUUGAGAGAGAACCCAAUUUCUGAAAAAGUUAUAUGGGUGCAAUCAGUUUACAAUAAAGAUGUAUUUAUAGGUGGUAGUUUUAAAAAUUUUGGGGAAGGGUGGUAUUUUGACAAAAAAUUAUAAAAUAUGUGAUAUUUUGAGCUAUUUCCCAAAAAAAAUUGAAUUAUUCUAAACCUAUAUCGAAGAAUCGGUAUGUUUCUUAUGCCUCCAUGGCCACAUGUGUCCCUUCAGUACUGUAAACCUCAUCUCAAUGCAACCCAAAACUCCUUGAUACCCUCCAUGCAUUUAAUUUGUGACACAUCAUCACAACCAAAAUCAUGAUACUUCUUCAAUAAAGAAAUAUUAGUGUAAAAUAAAAAUAAAAUUCUCUAUGCAUCGAAUUUGUGCCACCUCACUAUAACUACAAAAAUCUUGAUAGUUCUAACUCAAGUUUUCUUCUGGGAGAUCAUCUAAGUCAAGGUGCAUGGACAUUCUUUUUAUUAUCUGAAUAUUCCCAUUAAAUGAAUUAAAAAGUUUUUUUCAUAUAUAGGAAAAAGCGAUAAUUAUAUUUAUAAAUUAGACACAAAAACCAUUAGCCACAAAGACAAAUACAAAUAGCCACAAAGUGGUAAUAUAAAUGUGAAAGCAUGUAGUAACUAAAAAGAGUUAAUCCAGAUAUAGGCCACAUAAGGUUAGAAAAACUUCAGCAUAAAAGCUGCAAGCAAGACAUGAAUUGCAUCGUUCAAAUCUAAUACGGCUACAACUUUUAAACUCUCAUCAGUACGAAAAAAACAAGUUGAGGCUAGAACAAUCAAGCCAAAUGAGAAAAAAAAAACGCAACAAAAAGCCAACAUAGCCACUGUUACCGCUUCUGUCUCUGCCACCAUAAUCGUCGUUGCCACUUUAAAGAUUGAGAACACCACCAAGAUUGCAGUCACCAACCAAAAACAGAUCUAACCACCAAAAUCACAUAUCCAACACACAUAUGGGUAACCUGAAAAGAAACAAACAAUAUGUAAUUCACUUAAUAACUUUAUAAAAUGCAUUAAAACAUCACUUAAAUAUCACUCGUCUUACAUUUUUUCAUUAAAAAAUAUCAGUUAACUUUACAUAAUCAAAAUUUCACCAUAAUUUUUUCAAUGGAUAACAUAGCUAAGUCAUUCAAUCUUUCUUGUGGCAUAGUUUACUAUGGAUACCAAAUCUCAUUUGUUGUGGCUUAACCCAUAUGCCACAACCAAAAGACAUGGGAUGAUCGAGCUUCCCUCCCACUAGAGAAGUGCGGAGCGAGGGAGAUGCAAAUCACUCAUCUGAUCCCACUUCCAUGAAGUGGGGGACGGGAUGUGCAAGGCUAGGAAAGCAUGGCCAAACCCAAGAAUUCGAAAGGCUAUAACAACCCGGCUAGACCUCCAGCCAAAGAGGGACAAAAAUUGAAUUAAACACUAAGAGUACGCUGCGCAAAUACAGACUUGAACGUCGGAGUGACUUUUCCAGGUACUCACCCCUCUUCCAUCGUUCGACCUCGGGAAUAAAGUCCGGAGUUCUCUUUCGACCAAGGAAGCGUGCGGACUUCAGUCAAGAACCUGUGGAGGUAUUUCUUCUUGAAAGAAAUCCUGCUCCAACAGUUGGCGUCGUCUGUGGGAAUCUCGCAAAGUUGAUCAUAAAUAUGACUGAACCUGCACAGGGAACUCCAAACACUUCCAUCCCGGGGAAUGCGACGUCCACUCCUCGACCUGGAAGCGGUUCAACUCCCAGGAUGGGGAACCAAGCCUUACUGUUAUCCAAUUGAGGGAACUCAUGAAAGAGCUGCGUGAAACGAGAAAGGUAGUAGAGAAAGCUCUGGAGAAGGCGCAGAACACUGCUCGCCAUGAGGGCCCAAAAGAAGGCAAGAGAAAGCAGAGACAUGAGAUCUUUCAGGGAGACUCCUCUAGCAGCACACACUCGAGCGUCCGGGACAAGGCCACGGCAGAAGAUCAAGACAAAGAUCGCGACCUGCAUGAAAUGGCGAAGAGGGCGAAGAACACUGAUUUGUGCAAUCAGAUCGAGAAGAUUGUCAGAGGGUACAAGCCGCAAACACCCGCGGAACUAGCUUUGGAGGCGGCGAAAGGAAUUUGCAAGUCGCCAUUAACGGAAGACAUCCUGAAAGCCAAGAAGCUAGUUAAGUUCCCCCAACCUAAGUUUAAGUUGUUCGAGGGCAUUACCGAUCUCAUUGAGCAUAUCUACCAUUUCCAACAACAAAUGGUGCUCGAAGGAGAUGACGAGGCCCUAUUAUUUGAGUUGUUCCCCUUAAGCUUGUCAGGAUCGGCCCUGAUCUGGUUUAGACAGCUGAAACCAAGGUCUAUUGGCGGUUUCACCCAACUCUGUGAAAUGUUCAUAUCUCAGUACAUUUGCAAUCAAAAGAGGAGAAAAGAUGUCACAAUCCUAUUUAGCACAAAGCAAAGUACUGAAGAAAGCCUUAAAGACUACUUGAGGCGUUUUACGAAGGAAAUGUCUACUCUUGAGGAGUGCGAUUCUCAUACUGCUUCAUUGGUAUUUCGUGAGGGAGUCAUACCUGGAACAAAGAUGCACAGGUCUCUAGUGAAGACCCCACUAGUGGAUAUGAGGGAAGUAAUGGCCCGGGCGGAUGGAAUCAUCAUACUAGAAGAAGAAGAGCUCACCCAGCCAAAACGAGCCACUUCCACCAUUGCGAUCCCAAAGCCUCCAUCGGAGCAAAAGGUGAAGACGAAGCGAUAUUCCUUAAGACAAGGGCCUAGCAACGAACCUAGGCAAAGCCGACUCUUCACCAGGCUCACGGUGAGUUUAGACAAAAAAUUUCACGAGAACAAGGGCAAAGGUAUAUUUCGAACGCCGCCUGCGAUCCGUGAAUCCCCAGAAAAGCGAGAUAGGAACAAGAUGUGCGCCCAUCAUAACGACUUUAGACAUACUACUGAUGAGUGCCGAAGUCUCAGGUACCAGGUGGAGGCAAUGCUGAGAAAGGGAAUGUUAUCCCAGUACCGCGCUGAACCUGAGAAUAGGGCAAAUGAAGAGGGUGGGUCAAAAACAAUGACAGACAAUAUCGCAAAUGAAGAACUGCUGGAGAUCAACACCAUCCACGGUCGACCGAAUCCCGUGAAAGGAAAAUAGGCUCGAUUCUGGUUCGAAAAAAGACGAGCCGAAAAGGUGAGACGCAUAAACGGGAUGGCAUUUGCCUCUGAAUCUGCCAAAGCCUUAAAGAAGAUUAGAGUCAUCUCAUUCACGUAGAAAGAUAUGGAGGAAAUUGAGUUCCCUCACAAUGACGCAUUAGUGGUAACCCUCCGCGUUGCCAAUUUGAUGGUAAAAAGAGUGAUGAUUGAUGGGGGAAGUAGCGCAGACGUGUUAUUCUGGAGCACCUUCAAAAGAAUGAAGCUGGAUGAAAAGGAGAUUCAGCCAAACCCAACACCAAUCCACGCGUUUGAAGGGACAAAAGCUCAACCGAUCGGAGACGUGACUCUGCCGGUUAUUGCCGCAGGUAAGACCCUAUUUGUUACUUUCGUAGUUGUAGACGCGCCGAACUCGUAUAAUGCUAUAAUGGGAAGAAACUGGAUUCAUCAAAUGGAUGGAGAAGCAUCAACACGUUGCUAGGUGAUGAGGUGCAUGUCCGAAGAUGGGAGAACCACAGUCGAUAUCAAGGGGGAUCAAGUGGAGGCCAGACGAUGCUACAACAUAGCAACUAACCUUAAGGCUGCAACUCCGCAACAGGGCGAGGAUUUAUAGCAAUUAAUGGAAGACCCACUAGAACAAGAGAAGGAGGAUAACUCAGAGCUUCCGAUGAUCAAACCACUCAAGGAAGAAGUUAUGGAUCCCUCUUACCCUGAUAGAAAAGUGUUGGUGGGCUUCCUCCUAUCUAAAGAUGAGGUAGACCAACUAAUGGAGUUAUUAAGAGAGAAUAAGGACGUGUUCGCGUGGUCACAUAAAGAUAUGUCUGGGAUCAACCUGGAGAUCGCGUGUCUUUGGCUGAACGCUAAUCCAAACCACCCCCCGUAUCAACAGAAGUAGAGGAGGUUCGCACCUCAGCGAAACCAAAUUAUUAGCGAUGAAGUGGACCGAUUACUCGAGGCAGGAUUCAUUCGAGAAGUAUGGUGUCCGACCUGGGUCUCGAAUGUCGUGGUAGUAAGUAAAAAGGAUGGGAGAUGGCGUGUGUGCGUAGACUACAUUAACCUGAAUAAGGCGUGCCCAAAAGACUGUUAUUCGAUACCAAAGAUCAAUCAAAUGGUAGAUGCCACCGCCAGGUAUGAACUUCUCUCAUUCCUCAACGACUAUUUGGGGUAUAAUCAAAUCCCAACGGCAAUUGAGGACCAGGAAAAGACGGCAUUUGUCACCGAGCGAGGCUUGUAUUGUUACACAGUGAUGCCAUUCUGGCUGAAGAACGCAGGGUCGACAUAUCAAAGAUUAGUGAACAAGAUGUUCAAAAGCCAGAUCGGCAAAACAAUGGAGGUUUAUAUCGACGACAUGGUCGUCAAGAGCCAGGAAAAUUCCAACAUAUCAAGCACCUGGAAGAAGUCUUUAACAUACUGAGGAGGUAUCGCAUGCGACUUAACCCAAAGAAGUGCACAUUCGGUGUUUCAUCGGGGCAAUUCUUGGGGCAAAUAGUGAACAAGGAGGCAUCGAGCCCAAUCCAUCGAAGGUGGAGGCGCUGCGGGAUAUGCCUGAUCCAAGAACACCUAGAGAUGUGCAGAUUCUGACUGGGUGAAUAGCGGCUCUCAGCCGAUUCAUUUCAAGAUCGUCGGAUCGUUGUAAGCCAUUCUUCCAGGCAAUUCGAAAUAAGGACAGAAGCCUAUGGGGGCUGGAACAAAGAGAAGCCUUUGAGCAGCUGAAGAAGUACCUCGCCAGUCCCUUGACCCUGACUAUUCCAAAGCAAAGUGAACCUUUGUACCUAUACAUGGCUGUCAUUAAAAUUGCUGUAAGUGCUGUACUGUUAAGGGAGGAAAAUUCAAUCCAGCAACUUAUAUUUUAUGUGAGCAAGAGCUUAAUUGAGGCCGAGAAAAGAUAUACACUGGCUGAGAAACUCGUUUUAGCUUUAGUGACAGCCAAGCGGAAACUUCGCCAAUACUUCGAGGCAUACACGAUCAUAGUAUUAACGACCCAACCAAUCAGAGCGGUCAUGUCAAAGCCUGACCUCUCAGGAAGAGUUACAAAGUAGGCCAUCGAGCUCAGAGCAUUCGACAUUAGAUAUCAACCUCGGACAGCCCAGAAGGGUCAGGUAAUUGCCGAUUUCUUAGUAGAAUGCUAUCCACCUGACAAACAACAGGAAAAUCACGAUGAAGUCAAGGAAGCAACAAACAUGGACAAGGCCCAAUGGGAAUUGUAUGUACACAGAUCAUCUAAUCAUGCAGGAGCCGGAGUAGGAAUCGUCCUCUCGUCGCUUGAAGGAGUGGACCUGAAGUAUUAUGUCCGAUUAGACUUCCCCGCUUCAAACAACGUGGUGGAAUACGAAGCCCUAGUGUUAGGACUCCAACUAGCAAGGACACUGAAGGUGGGACGCUUAGUUAUCCAUAUCGACUCUCGCCUCAUAGUCGGCCAGAUAACUGAUGAAUACGAGACUAAGGAUGAACGAAUGGGGGCAUAUCAACGGUUGGCAAAGGAUUUAGCCAGCAAGUUCAAAAAAAUAGAGUUCGAACGGAUACCAAGAGAAAUGAACGUUCAGACAGAUCGCUUGGCCCACGCUGCAUCAACAUCGGUAGAGGACAUGAGGGUCUCCCUAGUGGAACUCUUAUCGAGCCCCAGUAUACCAACUGGCCUUGGAGUUAUGCAGAUUGAUGCCGAAGAAGAAACGUGGAUGACUCCAAUCAUGAACUAUCUCACAAAGGGAACCCAACCCAAUGACUCGAUCGAGGCAAGGAAAUUACGAAUAAGGCUGCAAGGUAUGCCAUUAUAGAUGACACACUUUUUCGUAAGUCUUUUUCGGGGCCAUAUCUCAGAUGUCUCGAUCCACGUGAAGUCGAAUGGAUGCUAAAAGAAAUACACCAAGGGACAUGUGGGAACCACAUGGGUGGGAGGAGCUUAGCCCACAAAGCGCUGACCCAUGGAUAUUUUUGGCCUUACAUGGCCCGCGAUGCAAAAUAAUUUUCACGAAAAUGCGACAAAUGUCAAAGGCAUGCACCCCUUAUUAGACAACCAGCCGAGGAACUUAACCCUGUUGUAGGGCCUUGGCCAUUCGCCCGCUGGGGGAUGGACAUCGUGGGACCACUUCCCACCGCAGUUGGGGGCAAGAAGUUCGUCCUUUUGGCCACUGACUACUUCACCAAAUGGGUGGAGGCCGAGGCUUACAAGACAGUGACCCAAACAGAUGUGGUAAGAUUCGUAUGGCGGAAUAUAAUUUGUCAUUUUGGGAUACCAAUGGCCAUCUUGAAGGACAACGAAAUUUAGUUCGAUAACCGUAAAUUCAGAAGUUAUUGUGAGGAAAAAGGGAUCAUUCAACAGUUUUCGUCCCAGAGUUAUCCUCAAGGAAACAGACAAGCCGAGAAAACUAAUCGUACGAUCUUCGAUUGCUUGAAGAGAAGGCUUGAACAACGCAAAGGCAAAUGGUCGAAGGAACUGCCAAAUGUAUUAUGGGCAUACCGUACUACCAAACUGAAACUAACCGGCGAAAGCCCUUUUUCCUUGGCAUAUGGAACUGAAGCCGUCAUCCCCACAGAAAUUAGAUUACCCACAGUCAGGACGUUGGUGAUAGAGAGUAAUGAUAAUGAACAACAACUAGCUCAUAACCUUGACAUGCUUGAAGAACAGCGAGAAGCUGCAGCAUUACGACUUGCCAACUACCAGAACCAGGCAGCCAAUUACUUCAACAAACGAGUACGACAUAGGAAAUUCAAAAUAGGCGAGUGUACUCAGAAAGGUCAUGGAGAAUACUAAGGAUCUAAACGCAGGAAAAUUCAGACGGACAUGGGAAGGACCGUACGAGGUAACAAAGGUUUAUGGAAAAGGGGCCUAUAUGUUGAGGCAUAUCGAGAGCGGUCAAUCUGUACCGCGCCCUUAGAACCCAAUUCAUCUGAGGAAGUAUUUCAUUUGAGUUUUUUCAUUUCUUUCUGUCAUUUGCGAUUUUUCCCUAAAUUGUCCAUCGUUCGAUGAACGCUUAAUGGAACAUGUAUUUUCUUUACAUUCGAAUUGUUUAGUCGAAGGCCACGUCUGUUUAAAUUAGCAUUAUUCGAACGCACGUGGUCGAAGACCUUGUGAAUAAGAAAAUGAAUAUACUACUCCAUGGGCAUAUAAGGUGCAUGGCCAAAAAGCAAAAAGUACGAUUGAAGAUCGCAAUUAAGACGUUGCUGAAGAUCACGCAUGAAGAAGAGGUUGAAGAUCGCGCACAAGGACGCGAUUGGAAAUUGCGCAUAAAGAAGUGAUCGGAGAUUACGACAUGAUCGGGGACCAUGACAUGGUUAGAGAUCAAGCAACAUGAAUAAGAAUGCAGAUAUGACAGGGUCGAAGACCUCAUGAUUAAACAUAACACUAGCAUUAGGCCAUUAUGGCCAUAAAAGGAAAAAACAUGAAAUGUUUUUUGGAGGAAGGCCUCCGAAUUAUUCAAAGCUGGAGAAUACAUAAAACUACCGAUUCUACAGGUACAACCCACAAGUAGCACAAGCUAGUCUGACGGCAAGGGGAGACGAUCCCAAUCCACGUAGGGAUAAACCAUUUGGGCCUUGGUACGGAAGUGGUGGAUACCCUGUCUAAAUUCGUCUCGUAUGCCAUCAGAAUGGGCGGUGGACACGGCGCGAUCUGCAUCAGCAAGAUCACUCUGGAGACGAGUCACUUGGGCACCAACACAUGCCAGAUUCUCCUUGAGUAGGUCGCGUUCCAUCAGCAACAUGUUAUGGUCAAAGUGGCAGGAGUAGCGAGGAACACGAGAUGGACUGGCUUCAUCUCGCGCCCUUGGGGUACUCCUUCUCAUCGUAGCCUUCCCUCCACGUCUGGCAUCACCAGACCGAGACCUAGACCCACGAAGUGAAUCGAGGACUCCCUCUUUGACAGAGGUUAAGCCCUCCUCCUCGGAGAAUCUCCUUUCUUUGGAAUAUCUGUGCAAAUGCGGAAGUAGAGUUUUAGCUUGCAUCUAUGAGCCAUGAGUGGGAUAGGUAUGUACACCUAAAAAUCGAAUUAACCUUUAUAUAGAAGUUCACUUAGAGAUGUAGCUUACGAAGGAACGCCUGGUAAGGGCGUAAUGCGGAGGUGAUAGGAUAUCCAAUCCUUGCUUUUUGAAUUUGAAAAUGGCAAUUUAUCCUGAGAGGAUCUUGGUCAAGUUUUUAUAUUAUAAAAAUAAAAAUAAAAUAAAAUAAAAACCUUAAGCCUCAGGUACUUACAUCAAAGUUAAAAUUCAAAUUAACUGGAUAACUUAUAAAGUUUGAUAAAGUGAGCUAGGAAGUCUGGGAACGAACCCAAGAUAACCAAGUACAUCAAAACAAAAACAAAGCUAAAAGGAAAAUACAAUAAGUAAUGAACGAAGCAAAAGCAACCUAGGGCGCAUCAUCAAAUGGGUCAGGAGUGGCCUCCGAGGUAGGCCCAGCACAAGUGGAAAAUUCAGCAGGUGAAGUAAAGCCCGAAAAUCCAAGGACGGGCCCCGUACUAGCAAUAGACGAUGCAACAUUAGCGUUAGGGACAACGGUCCCAACUGACCUAGAAUGGGUUGGCCCAUGAAGGGCUGCCGGUGGGAUCCUGCAAUGAGGGAUGUAACCCGAACAUCAGGAUGCAUACCUUGAAAGAGUUCGUAGCCAGCAGGGUCAAAUUCCAACUCAUCAUCAUAGUCAUCUGGGCCCGCCACAAACCUGUGCUCAGAGGGUUGUUGGCCUUGAACCCAAUCGUAUCGGAAUUGCCUGGCCAUCUCAACCCUGAUCUGCUUGGUGUUGGCCUGAUACUCCUCGUCCCUAUUACGUGUGGCAUCCAUCAGUUCUUUUUAAGGCGGUCAACCUCCAUCCGUACAAUGCUUUGCCGCUUCUCAGGUUUCGUAGUUCGUCCCGUUGCUGUUCAAGCUCAGUCUCACAUUCCUUAAUACGAUUCCCGCUAAGUUCGAAGGUUGCCGUUUUUUCGCAUAUCUCACGGUUCAAAGCCUGAAACCUCACCAUUUGCGCGUUGCGAAGACCAACCAUCUACGAGAAGUUAAAAGUGUGCAUUAAACAAGCAACUAUUAUAAGGCAUGGCAAUUGGAUGAUACCAGCACAAAUCCCAAACGUACCACAUUCAAGCACUGUGAUUGGUAGCCCCACAUCUGUUCAUCAGUCAUGGUCAUGAAAUCAUUCUCACCUAGUGAGCUAGAGGAAGUGGGGGCAUGAGGGACUUGCUAAGGCCGGGAUGGAGUACUCGAAGCAGAUACAUUAGGUGAGCCCAAACCCAAGAUGACCUGUGAAGCAUGGCGAGAUUUCUUCGCAGACCCGGAGAGCUCGGGCUCUUUUCUUGGUCUCCUUUCGCUACGACCCGGGACCGACAAUGAGCGUGGCGUUGACAUAUCUGACUAAACAAACUCAGACCCGAAUACGCAGUCCUAGGAGCUGCUGUGUUGAGCUAACUCAACCUCCCUUUCUUGAAAGCUGGCCUGGAUACGAGACUCUGAAUCUUCAGUGCAACAACGGUCAACGUCGACGGAGCAAAUGUCUUUGAACAAGUUUAUUCCACGCAAGCUUGGAUUAGCUAAACUGAAUGGGAGGUAAGUCGCCGAACGAUGAGCAAUGGAGAGACGGAUGAGAGUAGCAGGGUCAAGAAAGCGUGUGAUAUCCCACCCUCGACCAGCUAAGUUCUCCUCCAACCAAGUGAUCCGGUCCUCAGAAAGGAGACACCUUUUGUCCGACGGAAGUACUGCAAAAAGGAGGUUAGUUAGACCUGCAAAAACACAAUAAGCUGUAUUUCAAAGACAUAAAUAUGUAUGCCAGGUUUUCGGCCAAACUCCAACGGGAUAGGCAUGUUAGACAUCUCAGGUGCCGCCUACUCCCCAGUGAUUAAGAGAGGUUGGUUUUUCCAGUACUUGGUGGAAAUGGGCUUACAAGUAAAUACCUUUUUACCAGACCCGGACGUAAAAAAGAAGUAGUGACUUUCCCCCCUAACACAAGCCAAGUCGUAAAGGUAAAUGAAAUCCUUAAAACUAAGGGACACACCCCAUUUCAAACCGACGGCUAGAAACCCAGAUAUGAGAAUGUAAGAAUUCGGAUUUAGCUGCAUGGGGUGAAGGCCUAGGAAGAACAAGAGCAUAUGAAAAAGGGGGUAGAGUGGAAACCUAACAUACUCUAAAUGGGCCGGCGAGAGAAUUAAGGAACUCCGAGGGAUAUGGCACCGGUGUACAUAUCUAACCCCAAAGGCAGAGGAUCGAUCCCCACGUCAUCGGGAACACAUCCUUUAGUGCGAGCCUUAAGUAUCUCAUAGUUCGGUGGGACACUACCGGACUUGGGCCAAAUCUCGUGGUUCAACAUGAAAAUAGCAAAGAUGAAAAUAUUACUUACUAGGUAGUGGCAAGAACAAGAACCCUUUGGCGGAGUUCUCAAACGUUUAUAUGUGAAGAACAAAAGCAAAGUGUAUACGGUUUUAUAGGUGAGUGCAUCUUUAUCAAUCAGCCUUUUUAUAAUAGGGGAAGAAUUGGGAAAAUAAUUCACAGAAGUCACGGGAAGAGGUUUUUCAAAAGCAAAGAUAAGGUUCGCACAGACGGCUCGGAUAUUUGCCUUAGGCUUUGGCAACAAAGCCUGGCUUGACAUGACCAAUCAGAAUUAUUUUUACCCAGAGCAUGCGCUUCUUCACAUAAAGCUGCAUGCGCUUCGACAAAAGACAAGUGAGAGCAACAGAUGUAAGCAAUAAGUGAUGCAAAGUAGUAAGUACACCUACAGAGCAAGGUUUGUUCACCCCCUCAUGCAAAAACUAGAUCGUGGACCGCUUGGGAGUCGGCAAAAAAAAAAAAAAAAAAAGUCUGUGAAUACCUCGGGUCGAUUGAGAAACCUAAGGCCCACGGGUGAGGAAGGACAGCUAAGGAGUUUUUGGGGCCCGUAGGGACAGCUCAAGCAUGCAAAAAAAAAAUCAUCAUGAACACCUUGGGUCGGUUGAGAAACCGGAGGUGCACGGGUCCAGAAGGAUAGCUAAAGGGUUUUUAGGCCUGCGCUGACGGCUCAAACGCAAGAAAAAAAAGUGCGUGAACACCUUUGGUCGGUCGAGAAACCGAAGGUGCAUGGUUCUGGAAGGACAGCUAAGGGGUUCUGGGCUCGCGCGAACGACUCAAACGCAAAAGAAAAAGAGAAGAAGAAAACCAAAAAAAAAAAAAGUGCGUGGACACCUUAGAUCAAUUGAAGAACCAAAGGCGCAUGGGUUUGGAAGGUGAGCUCAUGAAUAUUGGAAUCCAUUUGAGAUCAGCUAGCAAAGAGCAUGGGGCCCACCGGAUUAGCAAAAACUCAAAGUCAAGGGGAUGGGAUCGGCCAGGAGAGAGAAACUAAGAGACAUAACACCUGAGGAUGGGAUCAGCCAGGAGAGAGAAACCAAGAAUUAUGGGACCCACCGUUGGCAAACACUCAAAGCCAAGGGGAUGGGAUCGGCCAGGAGAGAGAAACUAAAGCACAUGACACCUGGGAUGGGAUCAGCCAGGAGAGAGAAACCAAGAAUUAUGGGACCCACCGAAUUGGCAAAAACUCAAAGCCAAGGGGAUGGGAUCUGCCAGGAGAGAGAAACUAAAGCACAUGAUAUCUGGGGAUGGGAUCAGCUAGGAGAGAGAAACUAAAGCACAUGACACCUAGGGAUGGGAUUAGCCAGGAGAGAGAAACCAAGAAGUAUGGGACCCACCGCGUUGGUAACAGCUCAAAACCAAGCGCACCACAAUUGGGGUCGGUCAGCCAAGAGGAAAAUGCCCAGGGCCCCACCAGAUCAGCAAAGGCGCAGAAAUCCAAAAUAAAUAAAAGGGCCCACUUGCACAUGGAUCGACUGUCCGCACUUGGAUAUACCACAUAGGGGUAACAGUUCAUAGUUGGAACUUGAAAAGUUAGCAACGUGCAUGAAAGUCCACAUUUGAAUAUUUCACAUGCAAGGUGCGAAGGCAACAUGCAUGGGUUGGUGAUAAGCCAAUAGGAAUCAUGUUUUUGGGCUUGACCAGCAAGCCCAAGGGAAAAGGUAUGGCCUAUUUAGGCUCAGCCAUGAGCCCAUCCGGAUGACAUGUGCUCAACCAAAAGAAACCCUGUUCCAAAAUCCCACUUAGAUCAUUUUUCCCUCUCCACUGCGAAGAGUGUAGAGAGGAAAAAAGGGGGGUACUGUGGGGACCAAAUCUCAUUUGUCGUGGCUUAACCCAUAUGCCACAACCAAAAGAAGUGGGAUGAUCGAGCUUCCCUCCCACUAGAGAAGUGUGGAGCGAGGGAGACGCAAAUCACUCAUCUGAUCCCACUACAACUCAUCUGAUCUCACUGCCAUGAAGUGGGGGACGGGAUGCGCAAGGCUAGGAAAGCAUGGCCAAACCCAAGAACUCGAAACGCUAUAAAAACCCGACUAGACCUCCAGCCAAAGGGGGACAAAAAUUGAGUUAAAUACUAAAAGUACGCUGCGCAAAUACUGACUUGAGCAUCGGAGUGAUUUUUGCAGGUACUCACCCCUCUUCCAUCGUUCGACCUCGGGAAUAAAGUCUGGUGAGUUCUCUUUUGACCAAGGAAGCGUGCGGACUUCAGUCAAGAACCUGUUGAGGUAUUUCUUCUUGAAAGAAAUCCUGCUCCAACAUUUACCGAAAGUAAGAUUUGAUUAACUUCAACUUUAAAAAGCUUCUCUCUACAGAGGCAACUGUGACCGGUAUAGUUAACAAAAUUUUGUAAGCAAUCCAUGCAUUUGGGAAACAACUAUAUGCUACUAUAACAACUCGCUCAUGCCUGUAUUUUAUUUAUUUAGGCUAACUUUUCUUUUCUGCUGCCAUUCAACUAGGUUAAUUGACUUAAGCUAUAAGUAUAAAUAAUAAUUGGUCCUUUAUUGAGUUUCCACUUUUGAAGUGAAAAAAAAAAAUGCAAGAUUCUUGUGAUACACGCACACUUUGAUAAAAUUGGGUGAUAUUAAAUUGGUCAUUCAUAAAGAAAAUUCCCAAUCCCACUUAAAUAAGGAAUUGUGCAAGCCCUAUUAAAACCCAAUUAAAUAAAGAGAAGAACUCCCAAUUAAAACCCAAUUACAGAAGGAAUUAUAGAAGCCAUUUUAAAAGCCCACGAAAUGGCCUAGCAGUUUCCUUUUUUUGUUUUUUUAAAACCAUGGUCCAAAACAACGUCGUUUUGGUGGCCAGUCGUAUUUAUAUUGUUUUCCACUUGUCUGUAGGGAUGGCAAAAAUCCCCACGGGGACGGGUCCCCAACCCUAACGGGGGGGAGAUUUCGGGACCAAAUGGAUAUCGGGUACGAGGAUCCCCGAACUUGAAAAAUCCCCGACAGGUAUGGGGAGGGGAUGGUAUUGGAGUUCCUAUCCCCGAACCCAACCCGAAAAUAUAUAUGUUUAUUUUUAAAUAAAUAAAUACAUAAUUAUAAUAUUUAUAUUUAACUUUACGUUAACCUCCCUCUCCUAAUACUUCCUGAUCUUCUUUGGAAUUUCAUAUUGAAGUGAUUUUGAAUAGUUGGGUUGAACUUUAUAGUUAAUUUGGAUGUGUUGGAUGAUAAAUUAAUAUGAAACUUAAUGUUAAAAUGUAUGAUAAAAAAAAAAUUUAUGCAAAAAAAAUCGGGGAUUCGGGGAUGGUAUGGGGGAUAGUCUCCCGACGGGGACGGGGACGGGGACGGGAAUUCCCCGAAACCUAUUAAACGGGGAUGGGUUCAGAGACGAGGGCAGGAAUGGAGAGUGGGGACAAGGAUGGUAUUGUCAUACCCAGCGCUUACCCAACCUGUUGCCAACGUUUUCGGAGAAUGUUUUCUUAGAAUAUUUUCAAAGAAUGAAAACAAGAAAACGAAUUCGCAUUUUCAGGAAAUAAAAAUGUGUCUAGUAAAUUAAUUAGAAAAACAUCUUCAGAAAAUAAAAACAAUAAAAACAUGUCUGGUAGUACAAUUUGAAAUAAUAAUAUGUAAGUUAUUUUUAUGAAAACGUUUCUCAUGAGAAUGAAAAUAACUUUUUUCUGUUUGUUACAAGUACACAUGAACUUGUUUUCAUUUUAUGAAAACAUUCUCAGUGUUUUCUGUUUUUGGGCCACCGAACGUGUUUUUGCCUCAUUUUUGUUCUCUGAAAAUGAAAACAACCCCUUAAAACGUUACUGAACGGGACCUUAAUUUCUAAUUUCUUAACACCUUCUGGAGUGUUAAAGUCAUAGCAAACUAUAUGUUUGUGCACACUACUAGAAAACCAUGGUAUAAACGACAAUUUUGUGUUAUCUGGCCAAUUCGUGACCAAUACUCUUUAAUCACAUGUUAUAUGUGGUCAACAUAAAUAUAGACCACAUGUAAUCUAUGAUUAAUAAGUCCGUUUUCUAAUAGUGUGCGUUUUGGUAAGUUUGUUUGAGGCUUUUUGAACAGAAAGAGAACUGCACAAUAUUCAUAUCAUGAUGGGAAAUUACUCAGCAUAACUUUAUACAAAAAUUAUCUACUUUGGCAUCACCAUUUAACUUUUCAGAAUAGCUUGAAGCAAUAAUGAUACACUCCCUAAAAUAAAAUGAAGGGCAGAACAUCAAAAUUUAGGUUUCUUACUAAAAUUUGAACAUCAAAAGGUGUUUCUUAAGGUCUGUCGUCAUCAUUGGAGCUGGAAUUUAUGGAAGCACUUCCACCAAUAUUGUCUGAGUGAAGCUUCCAGGUUUCUCUUCUUCAAACAGUUUUUUGUCAUCGCUCACACCUGUCACCAACAAAGGAAUAAAAAAAUUGGAUUAUUCUCAGCCUAUAUCGAAGCAUCGGUAUGUUUCUUAUGUCGAUGCAACCCAAAACUCUUUGAUACCCUCCUCCAUGCAUUUAAUUUGUGACACAUCAUCACUACCAAAAUCAUGAUACUUCUUUAAUGAAGAAAUAUUGUUAUAAAAUAAAAAUAAAAAUCUCUAUGCAUUGAAUUUGUGCCACCUCAGUAUAACUACAAAAAUCUUGAUACUUCUAACUCAAGUUUUCUUCUGGGAGAUCAUCUAAGUCAAGGUAAGAGGACAUUCUUUUUAUUAUCUGAAUAUUCCCAUUAAAUGAAUUAAAAAGUUUAUAUAUAGGGAAAAACGAUAAUUAUAUUCAUAAAUUAGACACAAAAAUCAUUAGUCACAAAGACAAAUAUAAAUACCUACAAAGGAGUAAUAUAAAUGUGAAAGCAUGUAGUAACCACAAAGGGUUAAUCUAGAUAUAGGCCACAUAAGGCCAGAAAAACUUUAGCAUAAAAACUCCAAGCUAUACAUGAAUCGCAUCAUUCAAAUCUACCAAUACAGCUACAACUUUUAAACUCUCAUCAAUACCAAAAAAAACAAGUUGAGGCUAGAACAAUCAAGCCAAAUGAGAAAAAAAAAAAAAAAAAAACAGCAACACAAAGCCAACAUAGCCACUAUUACCGCUUCUAUCUCCGCCACCACAAUCGUCGUUGCCACUUUGAAGACUGAGAACACCACCAAGAUUGCAACCAAGAGCUAAAAACAUAUCUAACCACCAAAAUCACAUAUCCAAGCACACAUAUGGGUAACCUAAAAAGAAACAAACAAUAUGUAAUUCACUUAACAACUUUAUAAAAUGCAUCAAAACAUCACAUAAAUAUCACUUGUCUUACAUUUUUCGAUGCAAAAAUAUCAGUUAAUUUUACAUAAUCAAGUUUUUACUAUGUCUUUUUCAAUAGAUAACAUAGCUAAGUCAUUCAAUCUUUCUUGUGACAUAAUUGACCGAAUGUAAGAUUUGAUCAACUUCAACUUUGAAAAGCUUCUCUCUACAAAGGCAACUGUGACCGGUAUAGUUAACAAAAUUGUGUAAGCAAUCCAUGCAUUUGGGAAACAACUAUCUGCUAUAGCAACUCGCUCAUCCCUGUAUUUUAUUUCUUUAGGCUAACUUUUCUUUACUGCUUAUAGCUUAAAUAAUAAUUGUUUGGUUUCCACUUUUUGGUUUUGGAGUGAAUAAUUGGGGUUUUUUUUUCAAACAAUACUUGGGCCUAACAUAAUAUCCUAAUAUUAAUAUAGUACAAUUUUUUUUAAAAGUAAAUAAACUAAAUAAUAGGUAAAUUUUAUUUUUCUAAAAUCUGUUUUGUGGUCUUUUUGGUGGUUUUCUCAUUGUUCUUGUGUUUACCUUUUUGUUGCAUUUAAUUUGUAUUUAUUUUAUAUUAAAUUUAUUAAAAAUUAGUUUAUAAAGUUAUUAUGAACUAGCAUAAUUUACAUAAUUUAAUGUGUAUUUUUAUUUCUAAAAAUAUAUAUAAAUUGUAAGUUGAAACUUCUUCUGUAUCGUAUAAGUAUUUUUCAUAAAACUUUUUUCCUCUUGACUCUGGAAACUUAACUACGUAUGCAUGCACUGUCACGAAGACUCCACGCGUUUCUUCCAACUUCUAUAUCAUGCACUAUGCACUAUGCACUAUGCACUAUGCACGCACCAUGUGUGUGUAUGUAUAUAGCUAGCCAUAAAUAACCUACCUAUCAACCUAUAAUCGAGCAACCUCAAGCAAAGACUCAAAGAAAAAAAUGGUUUACUCUGAGCGAAGAACCCUUACUAUUCUUAUGCUUCCAUGGCUAGCUCACGGCCACAUAUCUCCCUUCCUAGAGCUUGCCAAGAAGCUUACCUCUAAGAGAAAUUUCCACAUCUUUAUUUGUUCCACACCUGUAAAUCUCACCUCCAUCAAGCCAAAACUCUCUCCAAAAUACUCUCAUUGCAUUGAAUUUGUGGAACUUCAUCUUCCGCAUGAUGAUUUGCCUGAACUCCCACCUCAGUACCACACCACCAAUGGCCUCCCUCCCCAUCUCAUGUCCACUCUCAAAAG